rnacentral:lncRNA from 1 species
CCCUACUCUAAUAAGGCUUUUGAUAUCUGGAGCUCAUAGGAGGGAGACAGCUAAUACAUACUUACAAGACAUUUAUUGCAUAGUCAAACCAUGGAUCCAGAAGAACAAGUCAAUAAGUCAAAUCAAGAUGUGCAUGUGUGGCGAAUGAAUGGUGAUAAUGGUGAAAGUCUAAUUCUACUUAUGCCCUUUUGAGGGGAUACAUACCUUUCUUGCUCUUUUGAAACUUUUUGAGGAGAAUGAGAUGCUCUAUAUUUUCUUUUUCUUUUCUCUCAGGUGGGUAUCUUGUACCCCUAAUUCUACUGUCGGACACUUGUCCAUUUUUACCUCUUGUCUCACUUUUUCUUUUCUUUCGAGGUUCCGGGCACUUGCCCCUUUUUAUUUCCUCGUAUCUCUUUUUUUUCUUUUUUUUUCUUCUUUUUUUAGAGAGCACUCAUCUCAUGAAAUAAUAUAGCAAGUGGUAGUAACAAGAUAACUUGAGCAUUUAUUUCACAGGGGAAAACAGAAAUGUUUUUGGCUAUUCUCUCCCGGAUUAGGAGUAGAAUAUUUUUGGGUGGUUCUGGAGAUGGAAAUGGAUAUAUGUGGAUGGUACUUCCGGAGUAGAAGUAGCAUGUGUGAGUGAACAUGCAAGUGAAUCUUGAUUUAACCACAUGACAAGCUCCUAAGGGUCUACACAGCUUGACCACACUCAAUGCUCAUAAGCAGUAAAAAGUAAAUGAGUGGCUCAAAGUCUAGCAAGCAUGUAUAUAUAUGGCUGUGGUAGGAAUUUAAACUCUCAUCAUACAGGAACUCAUCAUGUGUUAUUUUAAAGAUUUUCAAAGAUAAAAUUCUCCAGAAUUCUAGCAUCUCUAGGAACAGAUAAACAGCAGCUCAACCUUCCCAUAUCAUAUCCGUUAACGACUUAGACUUUAGAUCAAGUACUCUUCCCACAAGUUCAGGUUUAGAGCAAAUCUUAAUUAAUACAGUCAUGCCUAAACUUGAGAGAGAGAUUUCAAUUUUGAGAACUAGUCAUGGUAGAGCAACUAUUCAUCAUUUCCAUAUGAGAGCUUAUCACAAGGGUUCAUAGCAAAUUUUAUUUAUUUAUUUAUUUAGCAAACUAAGCAAAGAUAUAUAUAUAAGCACAAAAUCUUUAUUUGGGUUUUUAUGAUUAUGCAUCUUUUUAUUAUUUGAGUAAAAUAUAAAUGUGAGUAGAAACACUUAGCUGGAUAAAUGGGGGUGCUUUCCCCCAAGCUGGAUUUUGACGAAGUUUCUUCUGAUGUAGCUAGCAGGUGGCGGAGGUGUAUUUGAAUGUCAGCAGCACCAUGACAGCGAUUAGGAUGUCCUUUGUCUGCUAGUCUUCUUUGAUCCUUGAAUUCUGUGGAGCUCAAAUAGACAACAAAGCUUUAUGGAACUAGUUAAGUGUUAGCAUAAAUAUCUAGCCUUUAUCAUGUUGAGCCUCCUUAAUAAAUGUUACUCUCUUUAGUAGGAUCAUAAAUUUAUUUUUUUAUAAUUUUAUUUUUAUAGGAUAGGAAUAUAUUUAUUUCAUUUUUUUUAUGCCACCACAGUGAAUGUACUUAUGGGUUUUAUGCCAUGAGCAUACUCACAUGGGGCUUACUAUUUUAAACAUUUUUAUUUUAUUUUCAAGAUGAUAUGAACCUGAUUAACUAAGCAAACUAUUUGAAAUAAUUGAAAGGAAAAAGAUAACUACCAAGUUUACCUCUUGGCAAGGCGUUCAGUGUUUUUAAGUCCUCCGAACGGGACUCUCCGUUUCCUCAGUCGUCCUGGGAUUCGCUGGAUGGCGUAGUCGGUGGUUCCGGCGGCGCUUCUUCUUCAUGUAUAACUAUCUUCUCUCUACACACCUGACUCGGUGCUACGGUCUCCUCAGGACAGUUCUGUUCAAGCUGUAUGUCUUCAGACCUUACUACUUCUCCUUCGUAGUCUGCCCAUCCGUCCUUUAUAAUUUGCCUCCUCUGGUUGCGGUUGCAUUGUCUUCUUCUUGUCCUGACCUGCUUAGAAUCUUCAACUAUAUAGUUAGGGUCAGUAAAAUAGCAGCGUACCUUCUCAGAGGUGAAGUGCAUGUGGAUUUCUUGGGUUCCAAUGUAGAUGAUUGCUUUAACGGUGCUGAGGAACGGUCUCCUAAGGAUGAUGGAGGAUCAUACUUGUCUUCUCCCAUGUCAAUAACCUUAAAAUCAUCUGGAGCUGAAUGUAUGUUGGUUGUAGGGACAUGGUUCCAUGUAGGAGCUGAUAAGUGACUGCGACCAUUAUGUUGACGUCAGAUCCGGUGUCGUAGAGUGUCUUCUGAAAAAUAAUAUCCGUUGAUUGUGCACUUGAUGCUUGGAACACCAGGGUCAUCCUUCUUGAUCAAGAAAGGCGACUUGAGUUGACGUUCUUGACCUCCUUGAGCUGCAGUGACCAUCUUAGCUGACUCAGUCCACAAUUGCUUGUUCCUGUUCCUCCUGUUGGUCCUUUCCUUGGUUCAUGUCAGGAUUGCUCUGAGAUUUGUGUAGUUUUGUUCUUGAAGGAAAAUGUCUCCUUCGUCCCCUUGAUGUAGAAACUGAUCUUGGCAGCACUAGCGUGGAUGACUGCUCGCGAGGUGUUCAGGAAUGACCUCCCUAGAAUGAUGGGUGCCCUCUCAUCAGUACCAGUCUCUAUCACCACGAAGUCUACUGGGGCAUACAAGGUACCAACUCGGACGCAGAGGUUCUUCAAUAUUCCUUUUGGGAAACUUAGUGUCUGAUCUGCAGGCAUGCCGAUGGAGAUCAGGAUGACGGUGCGUCCUGGAUUGCCUCUCUUGACCGGCAGAAGGUCAGUAAUUACUUCCACAAUGAGGUUACUCCAGUAGUUACGUCCUCAAGCAUCUCAGGGUAGUGAUUGCCUGAGUGUCCAGUAUCUCCAGUGUGUUUGUGCUCGUAGAUCUAGGUUUUUCACUUGGUGGAGUCUGGGAGUUGAAAAACUCCUUCAUAUGUUGCUCGAAGUGUACCUGCUCAUAGAGACAAGGCAGAGAUCAAGUGCAUGGGCCCUGUUGGUGGAAAACACCAACAGAACCAAAAGUGUAUUUGUUCUUCUCUAACCUCAAGCAUAGUGAGCAAGACAAAGUUGAUGAAUAAUAAAAUCAUGAGUGUAGUAUUUAACAUUUGUCAGAUUAGAUUGCUCAACCUUAUGGAAAGAUAAUCUAUCUAUAUAUAUGUUUUGUUUAUAUCUUUCAAAGAUUGAGUGUGCAACAUUUUAGCUAAUAUGAUUAGGAGUGUGGAAUCACAAAGGUGGAAGGACUAAACAUGUUGAAUCGAUUGGGUUGGUUAAUCUAGAGUUGUAAAUCAUACAUGUUUGUCUCUUUUAUUCAUGUGAACGCCAGAACCAAGGAGAAACUUAUAAAAGUGAUAGUCAAGUACUUUAAGAUGUUACCUUACUUGAAGAGUGAUGGUACAGUAUCACCUUGUGGAAGCUUUCCUCUCUCAGCGGUUGUGCAUUGUGUUUGUGGCACCCUCCAUGGAUCAUCUUUUGUGAGCUAUGCCUUCCUUGUGUAAAUUGUUAAACUUCAUGUGUGUCUCUCUUUGUCUCCAAUGUGAGUUUAUCUCAGGACUUCCCAGGUCGAUAUUGAAAGUUUUCCUGCAGGGGUUAGUCCAACAAAAUAUACCAAUGUCUACACAAGCAGUUUUUAGUUCAAUAACCAAACUGGACUCCAUGUCUAAUUAGAUUAAGGAAGGCUGUUUAACCUAAGCACCAUGCUUAAUUUAAAAACCAAUAGAAGUAUGUACAGUACUUCCAAACUAACACUUACUAGGAUAAACAAAGGUAGCGUGAUGGCUUUUAUAGAGAUCUACUCAAGUGGAGAUGAAGUAGUGUGAUUACUAUUUAACAAAUUGAGCAUGUCUCAAAGGUAGGGACAACCAACAUAGCAACAUGGCAAAUGAUGUUUUUAUAUAAAGUACUCCCCCAAGCUUGAAUUUUGCAAAAUUCAAGUUUGGAUAAAUUUAAUUCAAUGUUGUAUGAUGAUUGGUUGUACAUACCUUGUGCUUGUCAUUCAUCCGAUCUUCUUGCUCCAAUCCUAGAAAGGUUAGUGACAAGAAUACCCGAAGGAAUUUUUUUACAAUUAUCCUUAUAUGCUCAAAACACAAGGUAAUAUUGCAAAUAAUUAAAAGCUCAUGAUCUGAUCAGUGCUUGUUUUAGGACACUAAGCUUCUCCUUGGGAAACCAUCAAUUUAUGUCGGCGAAGUGGUUUCCCCUCCAACACUGACCUAUAUCAAGUCAACUCAACGAGAUCUGCAAAAUUUAUUAUAGACAUAUGCAUCGACAACCGCCCUUUUAAAGUUUUUAUAAAUAGAAAGGAAGAGGGGGUUGGAGAUCUCAAAAGUGGUGAUGUUGGAGAGACCAAUGGAUUGUGAAGAUGUUGCAUAUGAGCAUGGAGUAAAUGAAGUGGCUAUGAAAUAAAUUCCAUGCUCAUUAAUGCUUAGAGUGAAAUCCAUGUGGUGCGGUGAAAAUGGUAAGGUGAGUGUGGUAAAAAGGGAAAAGAAAAAGGAUACACGGACGACUUGGUUCGAAACUAGCACAACUACCGUUCCCCGGCAACGGCGCCAGAAAGCUUGUUGCGUAUUUUAAACGCAAACAGAAAAAAUCCGCAAGCGCACGGAUACCGAUGUAGCUUUCACCCGGGAGUAUUCCAGAGUAUCGAUUUUCCACAGGGAACGUGAGUGUACUAAUUAAGAUUCAAGAUCGCCCAAGGAUAACUAUAUAAUUAUUUUUGGUGGGAAGAGAGGAAGUUUCUUGAGAGUUCUCUAGUUGAUCUAAGAAUCAAGAAUUACUUCAAGAUUAUCUAUAUCGGGACAUCAGAGCACUAACCACAGAAAGAGAUGAGAAGGGGGCUAGGAAGGUCUGACUACGGUCCUACAAACACCGAUCCGAACGUGGUGGAAUACGUCGACCGUUAGGGCUGUCACUACCCUAAGGCUACCACAACAAUCCGCAGGAUUGGGUGCAAUUCCAGGUAAUCGCAAGACUAAACACCACGUCUAAUCUAUUAAUUACUACUCUAGCGUUAUAAAGACUAGAGCACUUGAUGCAAGCAGGAAUCCAAUAAAUAACUUGAAUGUAAAUAAAAGUAAUUAAAGAACUCAGGAAUUAUGAAUUGAAGAACCUGGAGAACGAUGAAGAACGAACCAGAUGCUGCAAAAGUAUAAUGUUGAGGAAGAUCCGACAGAUCCGGCUCCUCCUCCGCUCUCCUCUUCUCUCUCCCUAUUUUCUAGAUUACAACUAGAACUAACUAGAACUAGAACUAGAGGAACUAGAACUAGAACUAGAUGAACUAGAACUAGAUCUAGAUGAACUAGAGGUAGAACUAGAAGAACUAGAGGGAUCCUCUCUACUUGGAUGAAGAAUUGAAACCCUAACUUUGAUUCUGUAGAAGAGGUAUGAUCUCCAGGGGCCAGGGGGGUCUGGUUUUAUAGUCCCUUCAAGUGAAUCUGGGCCAUCGGAUCAAACCGACAUUGAUCGCAUGGUUUUCCUUGAUCCUUUAGGUCGGUGGAGCGUUGUCCGCGAAACGUGUCCUGAUUGGGCACUGUAGCUGGGCGGGCGCCCAGGAGAGUUGGGCGGGCGCCCUGCCUCCGAGCCCGAUUUCCUUCCCGUUCGUUCCCGUGCCUUCUGGAGUCUUCUAGAUGAUAGAAAAUUGCGCGACACGUUAAUAUCUCUAUGUAAACCCGACGUGUGGGCCUUUCUUCCGUAUUUCCUGAUAACCCCCUGCAGAAAUAGACAAACACCAAAACUCAUGGAAUUCUGUCAGAUAAAACCCUAAGUCUAGGUGUUGGUUGCAUUUGGAUCCUUUUCUAUGAUUAGUUGAUGGUUAAAUGUAAGCAUUAAGGACCGUCAACACUCGGUGCUCGAGCUCAACCGGGAGAUGGCAUGCUUGCCAUAUACCAUCUGGAAUGGUGACAUGCCUAUGGGGGUUUUAUAGGUCGUCCGAUAUGCCCAGAGGGCAUCUGGUAACUUGCUCUUCCAACCCUUCCCCAUUUCGUUGACUGUUUUCUGCACGAUGUUCUUGAUUUGCUUGUUUGAGGUUUCCGCUUGACCGCUUGUUUGAGGGUGGUACGGGUUAGCUAUGUUGUGCUUUGCUCCAAGCUCACGCAGUAAGUUUCUGAAUGUUCUGUCAAUGAAGUGUGAUCCUCCAUCACUCACAACCAUCCUGGGUGUUCCGAACCGAGGAAAGAUCACUUCAUGAAACAUCUUCCGUGCGUGCUUUGCAUCAGCAGCUCGGCAUGGUAGAGCUUCUACCCACUUGGACACAUAGUCCACAGCAACCAGGAUAUACUCGCAAUCUUGGGACUUCUGGAAUGGACCCAUGAAGUCAAUGCCCCAUACAUCAAAUACUUCGACCGGUAGGCUGUAAUGGAGGGGCAUUUCAUUGCGAGCAGUGAUGUUGCCUUGAAACUAACACUUCCGGCAUCUUCAGAUGAAGUCCUUCGUGUCCUCAUACAUCGUCGGCCAGAAGAAUCCGCACUGCCAGAUUUUGGCUUGAGUGCGGAAGGCUCCAUAGUGGCCUCCGUAUGGCACAGAGUGGCAUUGUUCGAUGAUUUUCUCUCCUUCGGUUGCUGGUACACACCUCCUCAAAAGCCCGUCGGAACAGACCCGAUACAAGUAUGGGUCGUCCCAAAGGUGUCGGCGGCUCUCAACUUGCAACUUAUUCCUGCUUUCGCCUGGUGGUAUGUAACCCGUGACCAUGUAGUUGAUGAUGGUGGCGUACCACGGGUUCAGGUCAGUCACUCUUAACAGCAUGUCGUCGUGCAUGAAGUCAUUAAUGGGUAGUUCCUGCAUGUUAGUGACUUGCAUACGCGAAAGAUGGUCUGCCACAAUAUUUUCUAUACCCUUUUUAUCUUUUAUUUCUAAAUCAAAUUCUUGUAACAGCAAGAUCCAUCUUAUGAGGCGAGGUUUUGCAUCUCUCUUAGUGAGCAGGUAUUUUAGAGCAGCAUGAUCAGUAUAAACAAUUAUUUUUGCUCCCACUAAGUAAGAUCUGAAUUUAUCAAUAGCGAAAACUACGGCAAGGAGCUCUUUUUCUGUGGUAGCAUAAGUUAACUCAGAUCCUAUCAUAGUUUUGCUAGCAUAAGCAAUUGCAUGAUGCUGUUUAUCUUUUGUUUGACCUAAGACUGCCCCGACAGCAAAGUCACUAGCAUCACACAUUAUCUCAAACGGUAGCGACCAAUCCGGGGGUUGGAUGAUUGAUGCUGAGAUGAGUGCCUUCUUUAAAGUAUGAAAUGCAGUGAGACACUCAUCGGUGAACUCAAAGGGUGUUUUUUUGGCUAAAAGAUUUGUAAGAGGCCUUGCAAUUUGUGAAAAGUUUUUUAUAAACCUUCUAUAGAAACCAGCGUGGCCUAAGAAACUUCGGAUCCCUUUUACGUUCACUGGAGGAGGUAGACCCUCUAUUACUUCAAUUUUGGCCUUGUCUACCUCGAUUCCCCUCUCGGAAACUAGGUGUCCGAGAACGAUGCCUUCUCUGACCAUGAAAUGGCACUUUUCCCAAUUAAGUACCAGGUCUUUAUCACGGCAUCUUUGCAACACUUUGUCUAAGUUUUCUAGACAAUGAUCAAAAGUUUUUCCAUAGACUGAAAAAUCAUCCAUGAAAACUUCCAUAAUUUCCUCAAUCAUGUCAGAAAAGAUAGACAUCAUGCACCUUUGAAAGGAGGCGGGUGCAUUGCAUAGUCCGAAGGACAUGCGUCUAUAAGCAAACGUUCCAUAUGGGCAUGUGAACGUGGUUUUGCUUUGAUCAUCGGGGUGGAUAGGGAUCUGAUGAUAACCCGAAUACCCGUCAAGAAAACAAAAGAAAGAAUGUUUCGCCAGCCGCUCUAACAUUUCAUCAAUGAAGGGUAGUGGGAAAUGAUCUUUCUUUGUUGCCUUGUUAAGUUUUCGAUAAUCGAUACACAUUCGCCACCCUGUCUGUGGUCGUUGGGGGAUUUUAUCGUUUUUAACGACCGUCAUGCCUCCCUUCUUUGGAACCACUUGGACGGGACUGACCCAGUCACUGUGUGGUACGGGAUAAAUAAUCCCGGUGUGAAAAAGUUUGAGAACUUCCUUUUUCACGACUUCACACAUCGCGUUGUUCAGCCUACGUUGGGGUUCACGAGAAGGUGUAAGCUCAGGGUCCGUAGGUAUGCGAUGUGUGCAGAGUGUUGGGCUUAUUACCUUGAGGUCUCGCAAGGAAUACCCAAAGGCUGUGCUAUGUUUUUCUAAGAUGGCAAUGAGUUUGUUCGACUCCUCAUCAGAUAGCUUAUCACUAAUAAUUACAGGAGUUUCUUUGUUGCUGUUUAGAAAGGCAUAACGCAGCCCAGCGGGCAAGGGUUUAAGCUCAACUAGAGGUUUUGGUGGCGUUUCAUCCUCGGGGAGUUCUAUGGUUUCUCCUAGCUCGUCCUCUUCUCGAAUGAAGCUUUCGGCGUCUUUAUCUAAGGACGAUUCGGGUGUUUCAAAAGGUGAAACGGCCAUCACCUCCUUGGGCAAAGGUAGGUCGGGUCGAGAGUCGGUCACUGAGUUUUUAGCUCGAGUGAUUGGAAUGGAAAAAGUGUCUCUUCCCAAUUUUACGUUCAUUGCCCCUGUAGCUGGCAGUUCAUGGGUUAAAAGCUCUAUAGGGUGGCCUAUAAGGAUGGCAAAACUUUUAAUGUCAAAGACAUAAAAGUCAAGACUCGUUCUGAUGUUAUCAAGUCGUACAUGGGUUUGGUGGAGAAUCCCACAACUUUUCAAUUCCGUACGCGGGGCUACCAUGAGACUUUUCUCUGUCAGGGCCAGUGGUUCAAACCCUAGAUGGGUGAGCAUAAAAGAUUUUGACAUUAAAUUGGCCCCGACAAGUGGAUUAUACAAUGCUUCUUGCCAGCUACGCCAAAUUUUGCACUGAAUGGACGAAGAUGGAGUAUUAAUCUGAAGUGGAUCAGAAGAUAACUCCGUUUCUUUGGUCCAUUCCUGACUCAUGAUAGCUGAGAGUUCAUUAAUUGAAUGUUUUAUAAAAUCCUCAUCUAGCUGAUCAUUAGCAGUGGCAACUUGCGGCUUUCUUUGACAUGAGUACUUCGAGGUGUUUCCGAAAUCUUUAAAAAGAUCAUCCUCAAAGAACGGGAGAUCUGAAGGUUGAAAAUCUUCCUUCGGGGGUCCCGAUAUGGCAGGAGAUGUCUCUAUAGGUGUAUUGUUAGUGGAGGCUAUUGAGACUUCCUCUAUUUCAGGUUCGCGCUCUACGCGGAGGGGUUCUAGCGGAGGAGUGUUCUCUAGAAUGAGGUCUAGUGAGGCUUCUCCUUCUGUUGUGGUCUUGUGGUUAAACGACCCUCCGGCAGCUAUGUCUAAUUGUAGGGCAGACUCCUUGUGUAGCCCUAGCCAGAAAUGUUGUAACAACACGUGGCUAGGGAUUGACAAGUCUAGGCCAGAACGGGUAAGAACUAAAAAUCUAUCCCAGGCUGCACCUAUGGUUUCCUUCUCUUGUUGUUGGAAGCUGAGAAUCUCUUGUCGUAGGGCAAUGACACGAGAUAUAGGGAAGAACGUGAGACAGAAUCUGUUCCUCAAUUCUUCCCAAUCUCCUUUCACCUUUCCUACGUUAUGGGCGUACCAUUGUUUCGCCUUCUCUUCAAGAGAAAAGGGAAAAAAUUUCCACCUAAGGGUUUCUUGCGACAUGCCCGAAAUUGUCAGGCAUGCACAGAGUUGCUCAAACUCCCUUAAAUGAUGAUAUGGAUUUUCAUAAUCUAGGCCUGAGAAGGUUUGUUCCCGAACCAUGGCUAUAAAGCCAGGACGGAGCUCAUAACUUGAAGCUGUGAUUGGCUUUGACGAUUGUGGUGGUUCUACGAGCUCGCCCUUAGGAUCAGAGAGUUGGUAAAGUGUGUUUGGCUCCAUAGUAUUUUUUAUAAUUUUUAUAUAUAUUUUUUUAGAUAAAAAUGGGAGAUGAUACACGGGCAACUAGGUUCGACUCAAAACCGACCACCGUUCCCCGGCAACGGCGCUAGAAAUGCUUGUUGGUAUUUCUUAGCGAUGCAGCCAAUUAUCCGCAAGCGCACGGAAGUACCGUUGUAGCACUUCACCUGGUGGUAUUCAGGGUAUCGAGAUUUCACAGGGAACGGAGGUGUUUUGAGACUUAAACUAAGUGUAUCCUAGAGUAAAGUGAGAGGGAUGACUUAGGUAGUGAGGUUCUCCUAAUGGUAGAAGUUUUGUGCAAGGCAACGUGCUUUUCUAAUCUUACUUCGGGCACCGGAGCAUACCUGGUCUGCCAGGUAAUACCGGCGUGUAGCUCUACACCGUAUCCGGACGUGGGGGAAACUAAGGACAAACAGGGCUGUCACUACCUGCUGCCGACCCCUCAACCGUGGGAUACGAGGCAAACGAGGGUAACCUCUAACCUAGACACCACGUCUACGUUGUUAGAUACUACUCUAGCGUUGCGAAGGUCCUCCCGCCAGCCAGCAAGAGUCCCUCUACUAGAGUAUCUACCGAGAGAUAGACAAUGAACCCGCAAGAUUACAAGAACACGAUAACGAUUACUCAAUAACUUCUUAGAACAAAAGAAGAAUACAACCUUUUCUUACCCCAAUAUGGUAUUCUAGGUUGUAGAGGUACAGCUCGGGAAGCAGGCAGCACUUCGGCCCUUCCGCCCAGUGCAACUAGGGGAACGGACCGGGUGCUUGCUACUUCUCUUACUAUACACUCUAACUCACUCUCCUAUUCUAUUCCUAACUAGAGGCUAAGGAUAUGAGUGGAAGCUCCGCCUCUCUACUACUACUCUUGUAUCUCUCUUGAUUCUUGUGGACUUGAAGCUUGAAUGGAUUGAAUGAUGAAGAAUGAGAGGCCCUCUCCCCCUCCUUAUAUAGGUGUGGAAGGUCGAUUUGGGAGGGGGUAAACUGCAAAAUGCAGCCGGGAACCGCGCUAGGGCUUCGCAUGCACCGCCUCUGCAAAAGGCAGUGGGGAGCUGGGCCAGGCCGGGGUUAGCCGACCCUAGGGGGCGGCCGCCCCCUGGCUGGCUCCGUUGGCCCAGGCCCAAAGCCCAGACGAUGCUUGUUGACGGUCCUUAAUGCUCACAUUUAACCAUCAACUAAUCAUAGAAAAGGAUCCAAAUGCAACCAACACCUAGACUUAGGGUUUUAUCUGACAGAAUUCCACAAGUUUUGGUGUUUGUCUAUUUCUGCAGGGGGUUAUCAGGAAAUAUGGAAGAAAGGCCCACACGUCGGGUUUACAUAGAGAUAUUAACGUGCCGCGCAAUUUUCUAUCAUCUAGAAGACUCCAGAAGCCACGGGACCGAAGCGGAAGCCGAGAGGCCUCAGGGACAGGGCGCCCGCCCUAGUCCUGAGGGCGCCCGCCCUCCCCCCUGGACCAAUCAGGGUGAAGUUCGGGGAUUAUGCUCCACCGACCUAAUACUUCAAGGAAAACCACACAAUCAAUGUCGGUUUGAUCCGACGGCCCAGAUUCACUUGAAGGGACUAUAAAACCAGACCCCCUGGCCCCUGGAGAUCAUACCUCUUCUACAGAAUCAAAGUUAGGGUUUCAAUUCUUCAUCCAAGUAGAGAGGAUCCCUCUAGUUCUUCUAGUUCUACCUCUAGUUCAUCUAGAUCUAGUUCUAGUUCAUCUAGUUCUAGUUCUAGUUCCUCUAGUUCUAGUUCUAGUUAGUUCUAGUUGUAAUCUAGAAAAUAGGGAGAGAGAAGAGGAGAGCGGAGGAGGAGCCGGAUCUGUCGGAUCUUCCUCAACAUUAUACUUUUGCAGCAUCUGGUUCGUUCUUCAUCGUUCUCCAGGUUCUUCAAUUCAUAAUCCUGAGUUCUUUAAUUACUUUUAUUUACAUUCAAGUUAUUUAUUGGAUUCCCGCUUGCAUCAAGUGCUCUAGUCUUUAUAACGCUAGAGUAGUAAUUAAUAGAUUAGAAGUGGUGUUUAGUCUUGCGAGUACCUGGAAUUGCACCCAAUCCCACGGAUUGUUGUGGUAGCCCUAGGGUAGUGACAGCCCUAACGGUCGACGUAUUCCACCACGUUCGGAUCGGUGUUUUUAGGACCGUAGUCAGACCUUCCUAGCCCCCUUCUCAUCUCUUUCUGUGGUUAGUGCUCUGAUGUCCCGAUAUAGAUAAUCUUGAAGUAAUUCUUGAUUCUUAGAUCAACUAGAGAACUCUCAGGAAACUUCCUCUCUUCCCACCAAAAAUAAUUAUAUAGUUAUCCUUGGGCGAUCUUGGAUCUUAAUUAGUACACUCACGUUCUCUGUGGAAAAUCGAUACUCUGGAAUACUCCCGGGUGAAGGCUACAUCGGUAUCCGUGCGCUUGUGGAUUUUUUCUGUUUGCGUUUAAAAUACCCAACAAGCUUUCUGGCGCCGUUGCCGGGGAACGGUAGCUGUUCUAGUUUCGAACCAAGCGUCCGUGUAUCCUUUUUAUUUUCCUUUUUUACCACACUCACCAUAUCAUUUUCACCAUUCCACAUGGAUUUCACUCUAAGCAUUAAUGAGCAUGGAAUUUAUUUCAUAGCCACUUCAUUUACUCCAUGCUCAUAUGCAACAUCUUCACAUUCCAUUGGUCUCUCCAACAUCACCACAUUCGAGAUCUCCAACCCCCUCAUCCUUUCUAUUUAUAAAAACUUUAAAAGGGCGGUUGUCGAUGCAUAUGUCUAUAAUAAAUUUUGCAGAUUUCGUUGAGUUGAUCUUGAUAUAGGUUGGUGUUGGAGGGGAAACCACUUCACCAACAUAAAUUGAUGGUUUCCCAAGGACAAGCUUAGUGUCCUGAAACAAGCACUGAUCAGAUUGUAACAUGAGCUUUUAAUUAUUUGCAACAUUACCUUGUGUAUAGAGCAUAUAAGGAUAAUUGUAAAAAUAUUCCUUCGGGUAUUCUUGUCACUAACCUUUCUAGAAUUGGAGCAAGAAGAUCGGAAGAAUGACAAGCACAAGGUAUGUACUGAUGAGGACAUCAACCCUAGUGGGUUCACAUCAUGUACAACCAAUCAUCAUACAACAUUGAAUUAAAUUCAUCCAAACUUGAAUUUUGCAAAAUUCAAGCUUGGGGAGUACUUUAUAUAAAAACAUCAUUUGUCAUGUUGCUAUGUUGGUUGUCCCUACCUUUGAGACAUGCUCAAUUUGUUAAAAAGUAAUCACACUACUUCAUCUCCACUUGAGUAGAUCUCUAUAAAAGCCAUCACGCUACCUUUGUUUAUCCUAGUAAGUGUUAGUUUGGAAGUACUGUACAUACUUCUAUUGGUUUUUAAAUUAAGCAUGGUGCUUAGGUUAAACAGCCUUCCUUAAUCUAAUUAGACAUGGAGUCUAGUUUGGUUAUUGAACUAAAAACUGCUUGUGUAGACAUUGGUAUAUUUUGUUGGACUAACCCCUGCAGGAAAACUUUCAAUAUCGACCUGGGAAGUCCUGAGAUAAACUCACAUUGGAGACAAAGAGAGAGACACAUGAAGUUUAACAAUUUACACAAGGAAGGCAUAGCUCACAAGAGAUGAUCCAUGGAGGGUGCCACAAACACAAUGCACAACCGCUAAGAGAGGAAAGCUUCCACAAGGUGAUAUUAUACCAUCACUCUUCAAGUAAGGUAACAUCUUAAGGUACUUGACUAUCACUUUUAUAAGCUUCUCUUUGGUUCUGGCAUUCACAUGAAUAAAAGAGACAAACAUGUAUGAUUUACAAAUCUAGAUUAACCAACCCAGUCGAUUCAAUAUGUUUAGUCAUUCCACCUUUGUGAUCCCACACUCCUAAUCAUAUGAGCUAAAAUGUUGCACACUCAAUCUUUGGAAGAUAUAUUUUAUAAAAAAAAAACAAAACAAAACAACCUAAAUAUAGAUAGAUUAUCUUUCCAUAAGGUUGAGCAAUCUAAUCCGACAAAUGUUAAAUACUACACUCAUGAUUUUAUUAUCCAUCAACUUUGUCUUGUUCACUAUGCUUAAGGAUAGAGAAGAGCAAAUACACUUUUGGUUCUGUUGGUGUUUUCCACCAACAGGGCCCAUGCACUUGAUCUCUGUCUUGUCUCUAUGAGCAGGUACACUUCGAGCAAGAUAUGAGGGACUUUUACAACUCCCAGACUCCACCAAGUGAAGAACCCAGAUUUACGAGCCCAACACACUGGAAAUACUGGACACUCAGGCAAUCACUACCCUAGGAUGCUUGAGGACGUAACUACGAGAGUAACCUCAUUGUGGAAGUAAUUACUGACCUUCUGCUGGUUAAGAGAGGCGAUCCAGGACGCACCGUCAUCCCGAUCUCCAUCGGCAUGGUGGACUUCCCAGAAGCACUCUGCGACUUUGGCUCCAGCGUCAACAUUAUGCUCAGGGUACUCUAUGAAAAAUUCUUUACACAUCCUUUCCUAGAAACAACCAUGUGUUUGCAGCUUGCAGAUCAGACACUAAGUUUCCCAAAGGGAAUAUUGAAGAACCUCUGUGUCCGAGUUGGUACCUUGUACGCCCCAGCAGACUUCAUGGUGAUAGAGACUGGUACUGAUGAGAGGGCACCCAUCAUUCUAGGGAGGCUAUUCCUGAACACCUCAGGAGCAGUCAUCCACGCUAGUGCUGCCAAGAUCAGUUUCUACAUCAAGGGGACGAAGGAGACGUUUUCCUUCAAGAACAAGACUACACAAAUCCCAGAGCAAUCCCGACAUGAACCAAGGAAGAGGACCAACAGGAGGAACAGAAACAAGCAAAUGUGGACUGAGUCAGCUAAGAUGGUCACUGCAGUUCAAGGAGGUUAAGAUCGUCGAGUUAAGUCACCGUUCCUGACCAAAAAGGACGACCCAGUCAUCUAUCAGCUCCUAUUUGGAACCAUGCCCCUUAAACCGACAUACAUUCAGCUCCAGAUGGCAGAUCAGACAUUCCGAAAGGUUAUUGACAUGGGAGAAGACGAGUACGAUCCACCCAUCAUCCUUGUGAGACAGUUCCUCAGCACCGUUAAAGCAAUCAUCUACAUUGGAACCGGAGAAGUCCACAUACACUUCCCCUCAGAGAAGGUACGCCACUGUUUUACUGACCCUAACUAUAUAGUUGAAGACUCUAAGCAGGUCAGGACAAAAAGACGACGACGCAACCACAACUAGAGGAGGCAAAUCAUCAAGGACGGAUGGGUAGACUAUGAAGGAGAAGUUGUAAGGUCUGAAGACAUACAGCUUGAACAGAACUGUCCUGAGGAGACCGUAGCACCGAGUCAGGUGUGUAGAGAGAAGAUAGUUAUACACGAAGAGGAGACGCUGUCGGAACCACCGACUACGCCAUCCAGCAAAUCCUAGGACGAUUGAGGAAACGGAGAGUCCCGUUCGGAUGACUUAAAAACACUGAACGCCUUGCCAAGAGGUAAACUUGGUAGUUAUCCUUUUCCUUUCAAUUAUUUAAAAUAGUUUGCUUAGUUAAUCAGGUUCAUGCUAUCUUGAAAAGAAAAUAAAAAUGUUAAAAAAAGUAAGCCCCAUGUGAGUAUGCUCAUGGCAUAAAACCCAUAAGUACAUUCACUGUGGUGGCGUAAAAAUAAAUAUAUAUAUUCCUGUCCUAUAAAAAUGAAUAUAUAAAAAUAAAUUUAUGAUCCUACUAAAGAGAGUAAUAUUUAUUGAGGAGGCUCAACAUGAUAAAGGCUAGAUAUUUAUGCUAACACUUAACUAGUUCCACAAAGCUUUGUUGUCUAUUUGAGCUCCACAGAAUUAAAGGAUCAAAGAAGACUAGUAGACAGAGGACAUCCUAAUCAAUGUCAGGGUGCUGCCGACAUUCAAAUACACCUCCGCCACCUGCUACAUCAAAAGGAAUUACGUCAAAAUCCAGCUUGGGGGAGAGCACCUCCAUUUAUCCAGCUAAGUAUUCUACUCACGUUUAUAUUUUACUCAAAUAAUAAAAAGAUGCAUAAUCAUAAAAACCCAAAUAAAGAUUUUGUGCUUAUAUAUAUAUAUCUUUGCUUAGUUGCUAAAUAAAUAAAUAAAUAAAGUUUGCUAUGAACCCUCAUGAUAAGCUCUCAUAUGGAAAUUAAUGAUGAAUAGUUGCUCUACCAUGACUAGUUCUCAAAAUUGAAAUCUCUCUCAAGUUUAGGCAUGACUGUUAUUAAUUAAGAUUUGCUCUAAACCUGAACUUGUGGGAAGAGUACUUGAUCUAAAGUCUAAGUUGUUAACGGAUAUGAUAUGGGAAGGUUGAGCUGCUGUUUAUCUGUUCCUAGAGAUGCUAGAAUUCUGGAGAAUUUUAUCUUUGAAAAUCUUUAAAAUGUUGCAUGAUGAGUUCCUCUAUGAUGAGAGUUUAAAUUCCUACCACAGCCAUAUAUACAUGCUUGCUAGACUAUGAACCACACAUUUACUUUACUACUUAUGAGCAUUGAGUGUGGUCAAGCUGUGUAGACCCUUAGGAGCUUGUCAUGUGGUUAAAAUCAAGAUUCACUUGCACGUUCACUCAUACAUGCUGCUUCUACUCCGGAAGUACGCAUCCACAUAUAUCCAUCCAUUUCCAUCUCCAGAACCACCCAAAAAUAUUCUACUCCUAAUCCGGGAGAGAAUAGCCAAAAAUAUUUCUAUUUUUCCCCUAUGAAAUAAAUGCUCAAGUUAUCUUGUUACUACCACUUGCUAUAUUAUCUCAUGAGAUGAGUGCUCUAAUAAAAAAAAAGAAAAAAAAAUGAUGAGAGAAAAAAAAAGAGAAAAAAAAAGUAUACGAGGAAAUAAAAAGGGGCAAGUGCCCGGAACCUCGAAAGAAAAAAAAAGUGAGACGAGAGGUAAAAAUGGACAAGUGUCCGACAGUAGAAUUAGGGGUACAAGAUACCCACCUGAGAGAAAAGAAAAAGAAAAUAUAGAGCAUCUCAUUCUCCUCAAAAACUUUCAAAAGAGCAAGAAAGGUAUGUAUCCCCUCAAAAGAGCAUAAGUAGAAUUAGACUUUCACCAUUGUUAUCACCAUCAUUACCAUACACCAUUCAUUCGCCACACAUGCACAUCUUGAUUUGACUUAUUGACUUGUUCUUCUGGAUCCAUGGUUUGACUAUGCAAUAAAUGUCUUGUAAGUAUGUAUUAGCUGUCUCCCACCUAUGAGCUCCAGAUAUCAAAACCUUAUUAGAAUAGGGUGAGAGAGAAGGCAAUACCACUAUGCCUUAUACCACAAAUACCACAUACUUUGAGAGAAGGCAUAUACCAUUACUGCCUUGGCAAGGAUCCAGAAAUACCACAAAAGAGAGACUAGAGAGAGUCAUACAAGGAAUCUCUGAGUUUUAUUUAAAAAUCUGCAAAAACUCCAGAGCUAUAGUUAAUCGAAGAACAAGAGACAUGGUGCUUGACUAGACUGUUCUAUCUUUUAACUACUCAAGAUAGAAGUGAUGGUUACAAGUCCCAUGGUGAAAGGUAAAUGAGUAAGUUUUAAGUCUUAACAGUUUACUCUAACCAGAGAUGAGAUCUUGUUUAAACGCAUGUGUAUCUUUAAGUUAUGAAACCACUGCAGAAACUCUUGAGUCAAUCUUUGCUCAGGGACGAGCAAAGGUUAAGCUUGGGGGAGCUUGUUGACGGUCCUUAAUGCUCACAUUUAACCAUCAACUAAUCAUAGAAAAGGAUCCAAAUGCAACCAACACCUAGACUUAGGGUUUUAUCUGACAAAAUCCCACAAGUUUUGGUGUUUGUCUAUUUCUGCAGGGGGUUAUCAGGAAAUAUGGAAGAAAGGCCCACACGUCGGGUUUACAUAGAGAUAUUAACGUGUCGCGCAAUUUUCUAUCAUCUAGAAGACUCCAGAAGCCACGGGACCGAAGCGGAAGCCGAGAGGCCUCAGGGACAGGGCGCCCGCCCUAGUCCUGAGGGCGCCCGCCCUCCCCCCUGGACCAAUCAGGGUGAAGUUCGGGGAUUAUGCUCCACCGACCUAAUACUUCAAGGAAAACCACACAAUCAAUGUCGGUUUGAUCCGACGGCCCAGAUUCACUUGAAGGGACUAUAAAACCAGACCCCCUGGCCCCUGGAGAUCAUACCUCUUCUACAGAAUCAAAGUUAGGGUUUCAAUUCUUCAUCCAAGUAGAGAGGAUCCCUCUAGUUCUUCUAGUUCUACCUCUAGUUCAUCUAGAUCUAGUUCUAGAUCAUCUAGUUCUAGUUCUAGUUCCUCUAGUUCUAGUUCUAGUUAGUUCUAGUUGUAAUCUAGAAAAUAGGGAGAGAGAAGAGGAGAGCGGAGGAGGAGCCGGAUCUGUCGGAUCUUCCUCAACAUUAUACUUUUGCAGCAUCUGGUUCGUUCUUCAUCGUUCUCCAGGUUCUUCAAUUCAUAAUCCUGAGUUCUUUAAUUACUUUUAUUUACAUUCAAGUUAUUUAUUGGAUUCCCGCUUGCAUCAAGUGCUCUAGUCUUUAUAACGCUAGAGUAGUAAUUAAUAGAUUAGAAGUGGUGUUUAGUCUUGCUAUUACCUGGAAUUGCACCCAAUCCUACGGAUUGUUGUGGUAGCCCUAGGGUAGUGACAGCCCUAACGGUCGACGUAUUCCACCACGUUCGGAUCGGUGUUUGUAGGACCGUAGUCAGACCUUCCUAGCCCCCUUCUCAUCUCUUUCUGUGGUUAGUGCUCUGAUGUCCCGAUAUAGAUAAUCUUGAAGUAAUUCUUGAUUCUUAGAUCAACUAGAGAACUCUCAGGAAACUUCCUCUCUUCCCACCAAAAAUAAUUAUAUAGUUAUCCUUGGGCGAUCUUGGAUCUUAAUUAGUACACUCACGUUCUCUGUGGAAAAUCGAUACUCUGGAAUACUCCCGGGUGAAGGCUACAUCGGUAUCCGUGCUCUUGCGGAUUUUUUCUGUUUGCGUUUAAAAUACCCAACAAUGCUCCUCGGCCUUCUGAGUUUGAAUCCAAUUGUAUUUCGAUGCACUUCUGUAUUUGAAUUAAAUGUGCCUUCAAUUCUUUGAUUUUGGCGGCUCAAACCCUAGUGUCCUGCAUACACAUGUGUUCACCAAAACUAUGGAAUUUGGUUAGCAUGAAAAGCCCUAUUUCUAAUGUUUGGUGAUAUUUUAUAGAGUUUGUAUGCAUGUUGGCGGUAUGAAAAGUGUAUUUUAAGAAACGCCAACACUUACCCUUCUCCUUCUUGUAGCACACUCAAAUCACUUAUUAUAGGUGGUAUUUGUGGAACUCACCGAAGCAUAUAUGCAUCAUGUGUAUCCUACUCUAUACAAGCUUAUAUGGAGUUAAAGGUAAUUCAAGGAAAUAGCAUACUUACCUUGCAUAUUUUGCUAAGUGAAAACUUAGAUCCAUGGAGGGGAAUAGCAUACUCUUAGAUCAAGAAGUGCAUGUGUGUGGAAUAUAUAGUGGCUAAUCCUAAUUCUACAUUGCUCUUUUGACAAUGUCUUUCUCUCAAGCACUGAUGGUCCUUGUACAAGAUGGUAUGGGCUAUCUUUUAUUCUUCUUUCUUUCUAGGACACUUGUACUUUUUCUCUUUAUCUUUUUUUUCAACACUUUAUUUUGCAUAGCCACAUACCUCCCUUCUAUAACCAAGAAAUAUUAAGAAAGACUUUUUUAAAGAAUUUAGAACAAUUAUUCCUACUAAGACUCUUUUUAUGUUUUUCUCCCAGUGGAGUAAAACAUUUUUAGUGGAUGGAAAGACAUGUUUGUGCGCAUUCCCAGUGUAGGAAUGGCUGAUAUAUGUGGGUGUACGUGAUCUUGAUCUUAGGAGCAUGAUAAUCCUCUCGACAUAGGUCAAUAAGGUUUGACAAAACUCAGUACAAAGCAAGUAGCUUAUGAGCUAGUUCAUAUCUAUGGCUCUAGUAAGAUAUUAAUCCUUGCUACAGAGGAGAAGUAUAGCUGAUAAUUUUAAGAUUUCUUAGAAGUAAAAUUCUCCAAAUGACUAGACAUCAAAAAUCAAGUUCUCAUAUUCAUACUAUCUCUCUUCCCACAACAACAUAAGUAAUAUGGGGUCCCUAUAUUAAAGUUCCCAACAAAAACAAGAAUUUCUAGGAAUUAUCAUGGUGUGGGUCUAUCUUGUGGUCAUGAAUAAAACAUCUUUUAAAUAUUUAUGCAUAGGAUGAUUUAACUAGAUAUAUUUUAUUCCCAAUCAAAACAGCAGCAAUACUAACACUUUAUAACAUAGAGAAAUCAUACCUGCCCGUGGUUUGAAGCAGAGACCAAGGGGCUCCACCCCUUGGGCAGGCGCCCAAGGAGAAUGGGGCGCCCGCCCCUGGCCAGUGGCCCUUUGAGGUCGGCUUUGUCGAGCGUGGUCUUCGUGUCAUGUCUUCUCCAAUAUUGUUAUCAUUUUGCGAGAAUUCAUUCGUUUCUAUCGUCGAGUGCCUCCCCCACACUAGAUUCCUGUUAUCCUUCAUUCACAACAUGGUGGAGACAAAAGGGAGACAAAAGAGAGACAUGACACAUAAUAAUCAUUAAAUUCAUCUUCAUGCAGGGCUUAUUAUUACAAUAGCAAACUUGUAAAUUAGACAUACUUUAAUAAAACUCAUACUCGCCCUAUUGGAUGCUAAGAUAAAUCAACCAUACUUCUUAGGGUGCUCUAAAGCCUUCACCCUCUCUUCUAGCGUUGACAUUCUCAUGUCGCCGUAAGCGAUGCAUCUACUUUGGACACGUCGACAGGCUUCUAGAGAGGCUAUUAUUAUGCGCUGCUCAGCUAGCUCCUUCUCCAAAUCUUCCAUCGUCCUACGGCGCUUCCGUGGAGUCUCAGCUGCGGCCAUGGCGGUCUUCAGAGCUUCCUUUGGGGGAUGAAUUUGACCUUUGUCGAAUGAGCAUGAACCCCCUCAAAGUAGGUAUGAUCUAUGGUGGUGUAUUUGGUGCAGACGACCUCACCCUUUUUGUUGGUCUUUACUCCUAACAGCUUCUCACUGUGCUUCGGUGGCAGGAUGAUAGUUCCUACCAGUAAAGAGAUGAUGGGGCCCUUCGACGGAGCUCCUUCCAAGAGGAGAGGCUUGGUGUGAAUGGGCUGAGCAAAAUAAGAGCGUCCAUAGCAGCGUGGUUAUAUGGUGGAAUGAUGGCUAGCGGGACAGGCUCAUCUAUGGGAAUGAUAGCUUUGCACUCAGGCUCUUCUCUAGGGAUAGUGUUGAGAUCAAUCUCAAAGGAGAUUAUUCUCCUCUCUGAAUUUCUGUUAGCCAUUGUUGAGUAGAGAGGUGUUGCUAGCUUCCAAGCAAGAGGAGAAAAGCAUAUGAUGGGAUGAGAUUAGACCAUAGGAAUGGGUUGCUUAUAUAGGGGUCUAGAAAAGUAUUUUUGGAAGGCAUCCUAAUGAAAGAUGGGAAGUAAAUUGAAAGAUUUACAUUUUAUAAACAAGGAAGGUCUCGGGAUGUAAAUGGAGAAAGGCGGCGGCGAAUGGCCUCGGGGGAGGGGCAGGCGCCCCUAGGGUUUUGGGCGACCGCCCGCACUUUAAGCCCCCUUUGCCUCAACUUUUUCAUAUGCUUUAUUAAUUAUAUUUUAUUUGGAAAAGUUGAUUUUCCCCAAUAAUUCAAAAAAAGGGUCAAGCCUAAAUAUUCUAAUUGAGAAAGAAAGUAUUUACGUCUACUUCCUCUAAUUGAUUGUUAGGCUCUAAAAAUAAUUUAAGUCUUUGACCAUUUACUUUGAAUAAUGUACUUUCGUUGUUGCGAAGUGUGAUGGCUCCAUGCGACGAUGAGCUCACCACCUCGAACGGUCCUUCCCAUUUGCUUCGAAGUUUUCCAUGACCAAAGAGCUUCACCCUAUAAUUAAAAAGUAAUACCUUAUCGCCUGGGGUGAACUCCUUCUUGAUGCUUUUGUCGUGCCAUCUUUUUACUCUCUCUUUAUAAACCUUGGCAUUACGAUAUAUUUUUCUCUCCAUUCUUCUAGCUUAGAGAGUUGCAUCUUCCUCUUGUCUCCAGCUGCUUCUAAGUCCAUAUUCCAUCUCUUAAUAGCCCAAUGAGAUUUGAAUUCUAGCUCCACUAGUAACUGACAAGUUUUUCCAUAGACAAGUUGAUAGGUGACAUCCUGAUGGGCAUCUUGUAUGAUGUCCGGUAUGUCCGCAGUGCAUCAUGAAGCUUAUCCUUCCAAGCUGUCCCCAUCUCAUUUACUGUCUUGUGUAGAAUAUUCUUAAUUUUCUUACUUGAUGUCUCUACCUGACCACUUGUCUGAGGAUGGUAAAGAGUAGCGACGUUGUGACGUAUCCCAUUCUUCAUCAAGUAUUGCUCCAAGGGCUUCUCGAUGAAGUGAGAACCUCCGUCCCUUAUCACUAUCUUUGGAACUCCAAAUCCUAGAAAUAUUAUUUCUUCGAACAUCUUCUUUAAAUGCAUAUUGUCAUCAUUCCUGCAUGGCAUGGCUUCAACCCACUUGGAGACAAAAUCCACUACCACUAGCAUAUACUCAUACUUCGUUGACGGUGGAAAUGGCCCCAUGUAAUCAAUUCCCCAAACAAUAAAUAGCACUAUCUGGAGAUUGCUGAUGAGUGGCAUGGCAUCCCUUGAAUUGAUAUUACCAUGUCUUUGGCAUGGGCCACAUCUCUAAAUAAAUUCCCUUGUGUCUUCAAACAUUGUUGGCUAGAAGAAUCCACACUGGCAUAUCUUGGCAUGUGUUAGGAACACCCCAUAAUGCCCACCAUAUAGUGAUGAAUGACAUCUUUCAAUGAUUUUGAAUUCUUCUUCAGUUGGCACACACCUUCUGAGUAAGCCAUCAGAGCAUACUCGGAAGAGGUAUGGUUCAUCCCAUAUGUGAGAACGGCUCUCCUGGAUUAGCUUUCUUUUGUUGCCUCCUAGUGGUACAUAACUUGUAACCAUAAAAUUAACAAUAUUUGCAUACUAGGGGGUCAGAUUUGUUGAUUCCAUAGAUCAUGUCAUCCCGGAGUGAGUCAUCGAUGGGUAGUUCCUAUGGAUUCUCAAAUUGCAUUAUAGACAAAUGAUCAGCAACAAAAUUUUCUACUCCUUUUUUAUCUUUUAUUUCUAAGUCAAAUUCUUGGAGUAAUAAAAUCCAUCUUAUCAUACAGGGUUUAGCAUCUCUCUUAGUGAGCAAAUAUUUUAAAGCAACAUGAUCAGAAUAAAUAAUUACUUUAGUUACCACUAAGUAAGAUCUAAACUUAUCAACAGCUAGGAGCUCUUUUUCAGUAGUAGCAUAAUUAAGUUGAGGUCCUGUCAGAGUUUUGAUAGCAUAAGCUAUUGCAUGAUGCUUUUUAUCUUUAGUUUGUCCUAAUACUGCCCCCACAACAUAAUCACUAGCAUCACACAUAAUUUCAAAAGGUAAAGACCAAUCAGGGGGUUGAUUGAUUGGUGCUGAGAUGAGUGCUUUCUUAAGAAUUUCAAAAGCUUGUAAAUAUGCAUCAUUAAAUUCAAAAGGAACAUCCUUAGCCAAUAAGUUAGUAAGAGGUCUAGCAAUAAAUGAAAAAUCUUUUAUAAACCUACAAUAAAAACCAACAUGGCCAAGGAAACUUCUAAUUCCUUUUACAUUAAUAGGCGGAGGUAAACGUUCAAUUACUUCUAUUUUAGCUUUAUCUACCUCAAUCCCUUCUUUAAGACACUAAGUGUCCUAGCACUAUUCCUUCUCUAACCAUAAAAUGACAUUUUCCCUAUUAAGGACUAAGUGCUUUUCUUCACACCUUUGCAAAACCUUAUCUAAGUUUUCUAGACACAUCAAAGGUUUUUCCAUAAACAGAAAAAUCAUCCAUAAAAACUUCCAUAAUCUUUUCAAUCAUAUUAGAAAAUAUAGACAUCAUACACCUUUGAAAAGAAGCAGGUGCAUUACAUAACCCAAAAGACAUUCUACAAUAAGCAUAGGUUCCAUAGGGACAUGUAAAGGUGGUUUUGCUUUGAUCAUCAAGAUGGAUAGGGAUUUGGUGAUACCCUGAAUAUCCAUCUAAGAAACAAAAGAAGGAAUGGUUUGCUAACCGCUCUAGCAUUUCAUCAAUGAAAGGCAAUGGAAAGUGAUAUUUCUUAGUUGCCUUGUUAAACUUUCUAUAGUCUAUGCAUAUCUGCCAUCUUGUGACGGUGCGUUGAGAGAUUAACUCAUUCCUCUCAUUAUGGACAAUAGUCAUACCUCCCUUUUUAGGUACAACCUGAACAGGGCUUACCCACUCACUAUGUGGCAUGGCAUAAAUGAUGCCUGCUUGCAAUAGUUUCAAAACUUCCUUCUUUACAACCUCUCUCAUUGCAUUGUUGAGUCUACAUUGAGGUUCUCUAGAUGGUGCAACAUUAGGAUCUAUAGGAAUGCAAUGGGUGCAAAUAGGGAUGAAAAUGGUAUGGAUAUUUUCCGGCCGUAUUCAAGACCGAAUUUGUUUAGAGGGGUUCAGAUCUGUCCGUAUCCAAGUCCGAAUAGUCAACAUCCGAUACCGAAUCCGUAUCCGAAUACUUAAAUUGUAUAUUUAUGAUGUCGACGUCCAAUCGUAUCUUAUCCGACAUGAUUGACAUUAUCCGUAUUCGAAUUCGAAUCCAACUUCUGGCAUGAGCAGGGAAUUAUGAAAACAAAUAUGAUAUCAAUGAUAUCCGUCAGUAUCAGAUCGGUUUUCAUCCCUAGGUGCAAAGGGCAGAACUAAUUCCCUUGAUGUCCAGGAGUGAGUAGCCAAAGGUUGAAUGGUGCUUUUCUAGGACUGCCAUUAGACAAAGAGUCUGCUCCUGAGUGAGUUUAUCACUCAUAAUGACAGGAGAGUCUAGAUCGUCAACUAGAAAACCGUAUCUAAGACCGGUUGGUAAAGGUUCAAGCUCAAUAGGAGGUUUAGGUGGUAUUGCAAACUUAUCUAAAGUUUCUUCCUCGGAAGGGUGAGCUUCAUCUUUUAUGAAGAAUCUAGCUUCAUCUUCUUAUCCUGAUUUGGCUAAAAAUUCUAAGGAUGUAGCUCUAAAUUCCUCCAAUGGGUCCUCUUGUGGAUAAGGUAUGGUCCUAGAGUUUAAAGAGUCUGAAAUGGACAGUGGGAAUUGAAGUUUCUUGCCUAAGCGAAUUUUUAGCUUCCCGGAUUAUCCUUCAUAUAGAAGUCGUCUAAAAGGUUGUCCUAUCAACAGGUCAAAGUCCCAUGUGUCAAAGAUAUAAAAGCUUAAGUGCGCUGGGGUUCCUUCUACAUGAAUGAGCAAGCCGGAUGUGUAGGAUUCCUACAAUGGGGAUAAUAUGUCCCGAGAGACUUCUCAUGAAUUUUAUUGUUGGGAUUAAUAUCAUGUCUUGUAUUAAAUGUUUUGCAAGAGACAUAGAUGUUGAUAUUUGGUAACGCAAUCAGAAUUAAUCCACAAGCGCACGGAUAUCGGUGAGCACUUCACCCGGGAUGUUAUCCAGAGUAUCAUAUUUUUUAUUUUUACUACUAGGAGAAAGCGUGCAUCUGACUAACCCGGCCUAUUACUACUAACCUUUAGGCUACAAACUAUGUGAUUCGAUGUGAGUGAUGUAUAGAGAAGACUACAACUGCACUCUCGUUCUAACUUGGUAAGGAUGAUCUACUGUUCUAUUGGGGAGGCUCACGGAAUCUAGACACCAGAGAGGAUGUUCGACCCGCACCUAUAAACCCUAUCGAUCCUGCUAACGGGAUAUGGGCUACAAAGGUAACUCGGAAAUGUCACGUUCAACGCUACUACCACGGUCUAGCUAGUCAGGGGAUAUCUAUGAGUAUCCUAGCCCAAACACCACGUUUACGCUAGAGAUGAUUACUCUAAACUCCACGCGAAGAGAUCAAAGUAAACUCAUAAACCAAAGAAUAAUAAAACAAAUAACUUACUAGAAUUUAGAAGUCAAAAUAUUGAAGAAUCCUAGGAGCAAGCCUCGGGUUAGGAGACUUGAUCCCGCAGGUACAACCUCGGAGUAGACACCGACAGGCCGGGCUUCCUCCGAUCUACAUCUCCACUCUAUCUCUCUCAAUCUAGUAGAACUAGUCUACUCUCACAUUGGAUGCUACGCCCUAUAAGGUGGGAACCCGAAGGAACAUCUCUCUCUGAAUCCUCUCUGGAAAAUAUGCUAAUGAAUAAUUGGAUUCUCUCCUCCAGGGGCCAGGGGCCCUUGCUUAUAUAGUCUUUUCAAAUGAAUCUGGGCCGUCAGAUCAAACCGACAUUGAUUGAAUGGUUCUCCUUGAUCCUUUAGGUCGGUGGAGCAUAACCCACGAGAAACGUACUGAUUGGCCAGCAGAGGAGGGCGGGCGCCCAAGUGGGGAGGGCGGGCGCCUUUCCCUCGGGCCCGACCGGCCUCCCGUUCGUUCCCGUGGCUUCUGGAGUCUUCUAGAUGUUGAAUAAUUGCGCGGUACGUUAAUAUCUCUAUGUAAACCCGAUAUGUGUGCCUUUCUUCCAUAUUUCCUAAUAACCCCCUGCAGAAAUAGAUAAAAUACAAAACUUGUGGAAUUCUGUCAAAUCAAACCCUAAUUCUAGGUGUUGUUUGUAUAUUGGUCCUUUUCGUUAUUUAUUUCAUAAUUAAAAUUGAUACUUAAGAACCGUCAACAAACACCCCCAUACUUAGGCUUUUACUUGUCCUCGAGAAAAGGAUGGUUAAGAAAAAUAUGUGGGGUUAAAAUAUUAUAAAGCAUUCUCUUCAUACCUACAGGGUGUUGUAAAAAUCCACUGUGUACCGUAGUCAGGGAAAUAUAUGAUAAAGAGUAGAGAUCCUUUCUUCUUCUCUAUUCUGCCACUUGGAGUUUUUGUAUAUCUUUGAAAAAGAAAUUAGCAUACCUUUAUCCUCAUAGGUUCUCUCAGAUCACUCAUUUAUCUUUUGUAUAUCUCACUAAGGUUAUUUUAAUUUGCAGAAAUUCUCAAACAUACUUACCUUGCAUUUAUUGCCUGAUCAAAACUUGUCAACUCUUACUGGUAUAUUGCUUAUUAGAGGGACCAUGGGUAUCAUUUUCUUAUUUCUCUUUUUUUUCAGGUGGAUACCGAGGUACCCCUAAUUCUACUGCCGGACACUUGUCCAUUUUUUCUGCGAGGUUGUCGAGCACUUGCUCCUUUUUAUUUCCUCGAAAUAUUCAUAUUUUUGCAUAGCCCAUGCCUCUAAUGCAAUAAUACUUUGGAAGAGUGAAUCUUUCUGAAUAAACAUCUUGAUCUUAGGAGUAUGAUAAAUCUCUCAACAAGGGUCUAAUCUUGUUUUGAGCAAACUCAAUACAGAGCAGAUAGCUUUUAUAAUUAUCAUAAUUAAUAUUUUUAGGUUUAUCAGGCAUAUAAAACACUGAGGAUGGUAGCUAGAAUUUUUUGAAGAUUUUGAAAUAAAUUCUCCAAGCAACAUUGAUAUCAAGAAUAAGGUACUCAUACUCUAUCAUCUCAUAUUCCACACUGACUUAAGCAGCACAGGGUUUUUGAAAUGAUUUUUCAAUAAUUGCAAGUUUUCAGGAAAUAUCACAGAGUGAGAUUAAUUAUGAUUAGAAAUAUUUUAAUCUUGUUAACUUAUAAUGUCGGAGACAAUAUUCUGCACAAACCAAGAUAUAUGUGUAUGUGUAAGGUGUGCAGAGUAUGUACCUGAAUCGUGGAGUGGUGUAGUCGAAGUACGUUUGGCAUGUCGAGGGAUCUCCCCCAUACUUGUUUUCUACUUUCUUGCAUAAAAAUAAAGUAGAGACACACAAGACAUAAUAAUAAUAACAAUCUUUAUGAAUCUUGAGGCAUUUAUUACAGAUGACUAGUAAUGAACUGAAGCUAAUAAUAGAUCUAGACCGAAUUUAAAGAUAAAUAACUAAGAUGCACUACCUCAAGAUCUAAUCUAGAUAACUUAGCGACGCUCUAACUCCCUGAUCUUCUUAUUGGCACUAGCAAGAUCAUGCCUAAGACUUAGUAUAAUGGUGUUUUGGUUAGAGAGUUUCCUAGUGAUAGAGUUAACCGAGGACUGGAGCUCUAUGAUGACCUUGUCUAGCCUACGAACGACCUCAUCAAUAUCUGCUAUAGUCUUGCGGCGCUUAGGAGGUGUCUCAAGAGCGUUGAGAGCGUGCUUCGGGGCUGCCUUUGGAGGGAUGAAAUGGACUUUGUCUGCUCUAAUUCCCUCGAAGUAACGCCUCUCCUCCUUCGUAGUGUAGCGAAUGCUGCUUAUCUCGCCGAUCCGGUUGGUCUUGACUCCAACAACCUGCUCAUUGGGCCUAGGUGGCAGGAUCCUCGUGCCAGCUGGCACCUGGACGGUGGCCUCCUUCUUGGCUAAUGGUCCCUUGAGAAGUAGGGGCUGCGGUGGUGCGGUGAGAACUGGUUGAGCAUGGUAGGAUUGGGUGGAGCUGUGCUGGCGUGAUGGCAUGGCUGCUAGCUGUCGCUCUGUGUUGGCCGGGACCAGAGCGUAGGCGUCGGGGUCUUCCUUGGGCUUCUUGUUGAGGUCAAAAGGGACGACUUCCCAAUCGUCGUGGAACUCUUCGGCCAUUGGAGCACCGAGGGACUAAGCAAGCUCCAAUAGAAGAAGGAGAGAAGGCUUGAAUAAAUUGGUGUUGAAAACUGACGUCAGGGGUCUGUUUAUAUAGGGGUCAAAAAGUGCCUCUAGGGUUUGCUCGGGCUACUCCCGCCGCCAUGCGUACGAAACCUUCCAUCUGUAUGAUUAUUUAGUUUACCAUAAAUGGGUUUAUCGCGACGGAGGAAACCGGGACUGAUAGGAGACAAGGGCUGGGCGCCCGCCCUCUUCAUCAGGGCGCCUACCCUGUGCCUAGCCCCGUUGUCGGCCCGCUUCCUCGAGCAUGCUUCUAGAUGCAGACUUUAUUUCAAAAAUAUAUACGUGGCCCAAAACGUCAGAUUAAAAAGGUCGGGCUCUAAUUCUCCAUGGAAAGGUAGAAAUAGAUCAUGUCUAUUUCUUCUAAUUCUUUAUUGGGCUCUAAAAAUAAUUUAAGACGUUGACCAUUUACCUUGAAAAACGUACCUUCAUCAUUUUGAAGUGUGAUAGCUCCAUGGGAUGAUGAAUUGAUUACCUUGAAUGGUCCUUCCCAUUUACUACGGAGUUUUCCAUGCCCGAAAAGCUUCACCCUGGAAUUAAAAAGUAACACCUUAUCUCCGGGUGCGAACUCCUUCUUCUUGAUCCUCUUGUCAUGCCACCUUUUGACUCUUUCUUUGUAGAUCUUCGAGUUGUGAUAUGCUUUCUCUCGCCAUUCUUCUAAUUCUGAUAGUUGCAUUCUUCUUUGAUCUCUAGUGACAUCUAGGUCCAUAUUCCAUCUCCUUAUGGCCCAGUGUGCUUUGAAUUCUAGUUUAACAGGUAGGUGGCAAGUCUUCCCGUACACCAAUUGGUAUGGGGAAAUUCCAAUUGGGGUCUUGUAUGCUGUCCGGUAUGCCCAGAGUGCAUCGGGUAACUUGUCUUUCCAUGCUGUUCCCAUCUCAUUGACUGUUUUCUGAAGAAUAUUCUUGAUUUGCUUGUUGGAAGUCUCUGCUUGGCCACUUGUCUGAGGAUGGUAGGGGCUAGCGACGCGGUGACGAAUUCCAUGUUUUGAUAGAUAGUGCUUGAAGCGUUUGUCGAUGAAGUGUGCUCCUCCAUCGCUUAUCACUACUCUGAGGACUCCAAAUCUUGGAAAUAUAACUUCCUCAAACAUCCUCUUUGAACUGAUGUUGUCAGCGUGUUUGCAAGGUAGUGCCUCUACCCACUUGGAGACGUAGUCAACUGCCACCAAGAUGAACUCACACUUCUUUGAUGGGGAAAUGGACCCAUGUAGUCUAUUCCCCAGACAUCAAAGAGCUCAAUCUGAAGGUUGGUGGUGAGUGGCAUGGCAUCUCUUGUGUUUAUGUUUCCGUGCCUUUGACAUGGCCCACAUCUUCUGAUAUAUUGCUUCGUGUCUUCAUACAUUGUAGGCCAGUAGAAUCCACACUGCCAGAUCUUUGAAUGUGUACGGAAUGCUCCAUAAUGACCUCCAUAAGGUGAUGAAUGACACCUGUCGAUGAUCUUCCAUCCUUCCUCGGUGGUCACACAUCUCCUGAGUAAGCCAUCAGAGCAUACUCGGAAGAGGUAUGGCUCAUCCCAUAUAUGUGAACGACUUUCUUGAAUAAGCUUCUUCUUGUUCGCUCCUGGUGGUACAUACCCUGAAACCAUAAAAUUAACAAUAUCUGCAUACCAGGGGUCAGACCUGUUAAUCCCCUAGAGCAUGUCGUCCCGGAGUGAAUCAUUGAUGGGGGUUUCCUGUGGAUUCUUAAAAUAUAUUCUAGACAAGUGAUCAGCAACAAAAUUUUCUACUCCCUUUUUAUCUUUUAUUUCCAAGUCAAAUUCUUGAAGUAAUAAGAUCCAUCUAAUCAGGCGAGGUUUGGCAUCCAUCUUUUUCAGUGAGUAGAUAUUUUAGUGCAGCAUGAUCAGUGUAAACAAUUAUUUUGGCUCCAACUAAAUAAGAUCUAAAUUUAUCAAUUCCAAAAACAACAGCCAGAAGCUCUUUUUCAGUGGUUGCAUAAUUAAGUUGAGCUCCUGUCAAAGUUUUACUGGCAUAAGCAAUUGCAUGAUGCUUCUUAUUUUUAGUUUAUCCCAAAACUACCCCCACAGCAUAAUCACUAGCAUCACACAUAAUUUCAAAAGGCAACGACCAAUCAGAGGGUUGAAUGAUUGUGCAGAGAUGAGUGCAUUCUUUAAUAAAUUGAAAGAUGUUAGGCAUGCAUCAUCAAAUUCGAAAGGAGCAUCCUUGGCUAGCAAAAGAGUAAGUGGUCUAGCAAUAAAUGAAAAAUCUUUUAUGAAUCUGCGAUAACAACUAGCAUGGCCAAGAAAGCUUCGAAUUCCUUUUAUAUUCAUAGGUGGAGGUAGUUGUUCAAUUACUUCAAUUUUAGCUUUGUCUACCUCAAUACCUCUUUCACACACUAGGUGUCCUAGCACUAUUCCUUCCCUCACCAUGAAAUGACAUUUUUCCCAAUUAAGGACUAAGUGCUUUUCUUCACAUCUUUGCAAAACCUUGUCUAUGUUUUCAAGACAACUAUCAAAAGUUUUUCCAUAUACAGAGAAAUCAUCCAUGAAAACUUCCAUAAUAUCUUCAAUCGUAUCAGAAAAUAUAGACAACAUGCAUCUUUGAAAAGAAGCUGGUGCAUUACAUAACCCAAAAGACAUUCUACGGUAAGCAUAAGUUCCAUAUGGGCAUGUAAAAGUGGUUUUCCUUUGAUCAUCGGGAUGGAUCAGGAUCUGGUAAUACCCUGAAUAUCCAUCUAAGAAACACAAGAACGAAUGGUUCGCUAAUCGCUCUAGCAUCUCAUCUAUGAAAGGUAAAGGAAAAUGAUCCUUUUUCGUGGCUUUGUUCAGUUUUCUGUAGUCUAUGAACAUCCGCCACCCUGUGAUGGUGUGUUGCGGAAUUAGCUCGUUCUUUUAAUUCGUAACGACAGUCAUGCCUCCCUUUUUAGGCACAACUUGAACUGGGCUCACCCACUCACUGUGCGGCACAGGAUAUAUAAUCCCUACAUGCAGCAACUUUAUAACUUCCUUUUUAACUACCUCUCUCAUCGCGUUGUUUAGUCUACGUUGGGGCUCUCGAGAAGGUGAAACACAAGGAUCUGUCGAAAUACGAUGGGUACAAAUCAUAGGACUGAUUCCUGUAAGAUCUUGGAGUGAGUAGCCAAAAACUGAGUGAUGUUUCUCAAGAAUGGUCAUUAAUCGCAGAGUUUGCUCCUGAGUGAGUUUAUCACUAAUGAUCACAGGAAACUCUGGAUUAUUGUUUAGGAAAGCAUAGAUAAGACCGGGUGGUAAAGUUUUAAGCUCUAUGGGAGGUCUAGGUGUUUCUGCAAACUCAUCUAAGGGUUCAGGUUCACAAGGUUCAGCUUCUUCUUCUAUGAAGAAAGGAGCUUCUUCUUCUAAGUCUGGUUUAUCUAAAAGCUCUAGAGAUGCAGCCUUAACGUCCUGCAUAUGAUUGGGCAAAAGGUAUGACUCGGUCUUAUUAUUUAAGGAGUGAGAAAUUGUUAUUGGAAAUUUAAAAGCUUUUCCAAAACAAUUGUGUAGCUUUCCAGUAUGACCUUCAUAAAGGAGUCUUCUAAAAGGUUGUCCUAUCAACAGGUCGAAGUCCCAUGUAUCAAAGAUAUAGAAGUUCAAAUGAACCAUGGAGCCUUCUACCGUAAGAGGUAGGACAUUAAUAAUUCCAAGACUGGGGACUAAUUGUCCUGAAGAUUCCUUUAUGACCUUUGUUGUGGGGGUUAAGACUAAAUUUUUAAAUAAUUUAAUAGCAAAAGAUUCAGACAUGAUGUUGAUCCCCACAACAGGAUUAUAGAGAGCAUCAGUUUGAUCAGAAUCAUAAGCACAGCGUAUAGUUAUAGGAGGUGUGUCUAAACGGAUCACAUCAGAGGAAAGUUCUGACUCCUCCAACCAUUCGCUACUCAUGACUGCGAUAAGCUCUCUCAAUUGAUGUUCAGUUGGCAAACAAAUGCUAAAAUGGCCAUUUUGGGGUCUGUCAAUAGAAUGGUAGUUUGAAAUGUUUCCAAAAUUAGCAAAAAGAUCAGAUUCUAUAUCUAGCGUGAAAUCAGGUGGUGGAAUUUCUUCCUUUUGUGGCUCAGAACUUGGAUGGCUAAAGUAGAUGGAGAAUUUGGCAGAGUGUCUACUUCGGCUUCGUGGGUUUCAUCAUGAAGGGUAUUAUCCAUCUCAGCUUCUAGGAUUCUAUCUAGGAUAACUCUAGCGUCAUCAGUAGGGAUGCGAAAGAAAGAACCACUAGACAUUGUAUGUAGAAUUUGUUUAUGAUCUUUCUGAAGACCUUAAAAAAAGUGAAAUAAAAGAACAAGGUCUUCUAGAUUAAGGUUUGGACCAAAUUCUAAAAGAUCAGAAAAACGUUUCCAGGAUUUUCCCAAAGUUUCAUUAUCUUUUUCUUUAAAAGAUAGGACUUCGAGUCUAAGGUCGCCGAUACAGUUGAGGGAAUAAAAAUCUAGACAAAAGUUGGCUCGUAAGACUCCCCAUUCACCUCGUUGUUGACUUACCUUCUGACUAUACCAUUGUCUAGCUUCUCCCCUUAAAGAAAAAGGAAAAAGAUUCCAACGUAAACUCUUAUCAGAAAUGCCUUUAAUGCAAAGACAAUCACAUGUUUGCUCAAAAUCUCUAAUAUGAAGGUAAGGGUUUUCGUCUUCCUUUCCUAAAAAGAUAGGUUUUGAAUCAUGGCAAUCAACCUGGAACUUAACCUAUACUGGGAUGUUUGGAUAGGCUGUGAUGACUCCCAUGGUAAAAGGUCAGUUUCUGAAGGUGUUGCAAAUUGAUAGAUCGAUUUAGAAUCUUGGUUUUCCAUAAAGUAAGAGUAAAGAAAAUAAAGAAUAUAAAAAGAUAAGAAAAGAUAAAAGUAUAAAUACAAGCUAGUAGUAAGACUCAAGGUUAUCUCAGCAAACCGUCUUUCUCCCCGGCAACGGUGCGAGAAAUGCUUGUUGAUAUUUGGUAACGCGAUCAGAAUUAAUCCGCAAGCGCUCGGAUAUCGGUGAGCACUUCACCCGGGAUGUUAUGCAGAGUAUCAUAUUUAUAUUUUUACCACUAGGAGAAAGCGUGCAUCUGACUAACCCGGUCUAUUACUACUAACCUUUAGGCUACAAACUAUGUGAUUCGAUGUGAGUGAUGUAUAGAGAAGACUACAACUGCACUCUCGUUCUAACCUUGGUAAGGAUGAUCUAUUGUUCUAUUAGGGAGGCUCACAGAAUCUAGACACCACAAAGGAUGUUCGACCCGCACCUAUAAACCCUAUCGAUCUUGCUAACGGGAUAUGGGCUACAAAGGUAACUCGGAAAUGUCUCGUUCAUCGCUACUACCACGGUCCAGCUAGUCAGGGGAUAUCUAUGAGUAUCCUAGCCCAAACACCAUGUUUACGCUAGAGAUGAUUACUCUAAACUCUACGCGAAGAGAUCAAAGUAAACUCAUAAACCAAAGAACAAUAAAACAAAUAACUUACUAGAAUUUAGAAGUCGAAAUACUGAAGAAUCCUAGGAGCAAGCCUCGGGUUAGGAGACUUGAUCCUGCAUGUACAACCUCAGAGUAGACACCGACAGGCCGGGCUUCCUCUCAUCUACACCUCCACUCUAUCUCUCUCAAUCUAGUAGAACUAGUCUACUCUCACAUUGGAUGCUACGCCCUAUGAGGUGGGAACCCUAAGGAACCUCUCUCUCUGAAUCCUCUCUAGAAAAUAUGCUAAUGAAUAAUUGGAUUCUCUCCUCCAGGGGCCAGGGGGCCUUGCUUAUAUAGUCUUUUCAAAUGAAUCUGGACCGUCAGAUCAAACCGACAUUGAUUGAACGGUUCUCCUUGAUCCUUUAGGUCGGUGGAGCAUAAUCCGCGAGUCUUGUGCUGAUUGGCUAACAGAGGAGGGCGGGCGCCCAAGGGGAGAGGGCGGGCGCCCUACCCCCGGGCCCGACCAGCCUCCCGUUCGUUCCUGUGGCUUCUGGAGUCUUCUAGAUGUUGAAUAAUUGCGCGGUACGUUAAUAUCUCUAUGUAAACCCGACAUGUGGGCCUUUCUUCCAUAUUUCCUGAUAACCCCCUGCAAAAAUAGAUAAACAACAAAACUCGUGGAAUUCUGUCACAUCAAACCCUAAUUCUAGGUGUUGUUUGUAUAUUGGUCCUUUUCGUUGUUUAUUUCAUAAUUAAAAUUGAUACUUAAGAACCGUCAAGAAUAGACAUGAUAUUUAUCCCUACAACUGGAUUAUAGACAUUUAUUUGAUACAUAUGGAUUAUGCAAUGAAUUGGAAUAGAAGAUGGAUCUAAACGAAUUAUUUCAGUGGAAAGCUCUGAUUCUUCUAACCAUUCAUUACUUGUAAUAUAUACUAAUUCUCUUGAGGUUCUUCCAGGGGGAAUGUUCUCAGGGGGAUUAAAAGACUCUCUAGUGUUUCUAUGUGGCCUCUUCGUAGAGUGAUAAUUCAAAACGUUUCCAAAUUCAGUAAAAGAGAUCAGGUUCUAUGUCUAGCAUAAAAUCUGGAAACAGAAUUUCUUCUUUUUCUUGCUCAAGACAUGUGUUAGCUGAAGUAGAUGGUGUUUCUAGGAAAGAGUUAGUUCCAACUAAUUGGGGUUGAGGCUCUACUUCUAGAGGUAAUCUAAUUCAAUGGAUAGGAUUUGAUCUAGGAUUAAUCUUGCUUUCUCAGAAGAGACAUGCAAGAAAGAUCCUCCUAAAGUAGUGUCGAGCAACUUUCUACUUUCUAUACUCAGAUCUUUAUAAAAAUGUUGUAGAAGAAUAGGGUCUGGUAGACUAUGAUCCGGGCCGAAUGCUAAAAGUGUAGUAAAUCGAUUCCAGGCUGAAGCCAAAGAUUCUUUGGAUUCUUGCUUUAUAGUGAGAACCUUGACUCUAAGGUCGAUGAUUUGGGAGAUGGAAUAAACCCAGUCGCCGUAGUUGGUGCAGUGAGAACCAGGUACAAAGUGUCCCUGACCUUCCUCGCCAUCCUCUGCACUAGGAGUGGUUGCAGCUUUUGUGACUGAGAUGGCUAGCAUCCCCGCCGUUCUAGGGUAAGGUAACAGCCACCUUCAUCUGACGUCGUCGUCGAAUGAUCAACGUGACACCGACUGUGUCACCACACAUGCACACCUCGAAGUUGGAUAGCUGGUGAGAAGAGAGAACAGAGGAAAACCCAGCUGGCUGCUGCAAUAGGUUCCAACUAGUUCCUAUUGUCAAGGGCAUCAAGCCCUACGGUAGUUGGACCUCGGCUACGUAGUUCGUAGCCACGAUCCGUCUUCUCCGGCGAGGUUUUGCCCCUCAGCCGCAGGCUUAUGUUUUAGAAGAGAAAGGAGAUUGUAGAUAAUAAUUCUUGCUUGCUUAUAUCAAUAGAGUCUACAGAUAUUUAUGUCCCUUUAACUAUGCCUCCUUAUGCUAAAUAGCCUAUUUGGGACUAAUAUAAAUUGCAAAUUAAAAGGAUAACUAAACUUAUAAAAAUAACUGGGCCAACAAUCAAGGCCCGCCCCUAGCCACCUAAUUCGGCCUGGCUGCUGGGCGCGCCUUCUCCUGCUGUUGCAGCGCGCUCAGCGGUCCGCCGGAUGUCUCAGGCCCGCUGCUGACGUGUGUAUGUGCGGCCCCACAUGACAUCUCUCCCCCCUCAAGAUCCAGCUCGUCCUCGAGCUGGAAGGCGGGAUACUUCUCGCGAAAAUCAGCCAAGUCUUCCCAUGUCGCUGAAGAAGACGGUUCACCCUACCAGUGAACCAGGACGUGGCGAACUCCCCUGGCGAGACGAACCUACUCCACCCAUGCAGGUACUGGAAUAACGGCGUCGUGAUGGAUGUCGGGCAGAGGCGGUGGAGCUGUUGGAGGCGUGCCCACGAACUUCUUCAGGGUGCUGACAUGGAACACGUCGUGGAUGCGUGCCUGGGCAGGAAGCGCAAGGCAGGCAGCGACGUCGUUGAUGAUCUCCACGACCCGAUAAGGACCCAGGAAGCGGGCUUUCAGCUUGCCCGUUGUAGCCUGGGGUAGCGAGGCCGGCGCACGCUGUCGGAGACACAGGAGCACCCAAUCGUCCACCUGGUAGACAACCUGUCGAUGGUGCUUGUCGUACUGCAGUUUCUGCACCGCUUGUGCCUGCUCCAGACGGUAAAGAACAUCAGCGAGGAAAGCCUCGCGUUCCUCCAUGUCGCAAGCCACUGCAGCCACUCGCGUCUCACCAGGCUCAUAAGAGCGGAUGGUGGGCGGGUCGCGGCCAUACACCACAUGAAACGGAGUCUCCCGAAGUGACGUCUGGUAGGCUGUGUUGUAGACGUACUCAGCCCAGGGAAGCCACCGGAGCCACUGCCAGGGACAGUCGCCGGUGAAGCAGCGCAGGUACAUGACCAUGACGCGGUUGGCUGCCUCCGUCUGUCCAUCUAACUGGGGGUGGAACGCGGACGUCAUGUGCAGCUUGGUCCCCAUGAGCCGCAUCAACUCACGCCAGAACGCCGACGUGAACACCGGGUCGCGGUCCGACACCAUGGACUACGAAACACCAUGCAGGCGUACUAUGUCGGUGAAGAAAGCCUGUGCCAACGUCUCCGCCGUGUAUGGGUGAGCGAGGGCGAUGAAGUGGCAGUACUUGCUGAAGCGGUCGAUGAUAGUGAGGAUCACCGACUUCCCCUGGACACGGGGCAGGGCUUCCACAAAAUCGAGGCCAAUAUCAGCCCAGACGACGGUGGGGACUGGUAGCGGAAGUAGAAGUCCUGCCGGAAGUAGGUGUUCGGACUUGUAGUGCUGGCAGGAGACGCACGCCCGCACAAAGUCCUGCACAAUCCGUCUCAUCUGGGGAAAAUGGAAAUCCCGACGGAGGUGGUGUAGAGUACGCUGGACCCCUUCGUGACCAUCAUCAUGGACCACAGCUAUUGACGGUCCUUAAGUAUCAAAUUUAAUUAUCAAAUAAACAAAGAAAAGGAUCCAAAUGAAAUCAACAUCUAGACUUAGGGUUUUAUCUGACAGAAUUCCACGAGUUUUGGUGUUUGUCUAUUUCUGCAGGGGGUUAUCAGGAAAUACGGAAGAAAGGCCCACACGUCGGGAUUACAUAGAGAUAUUAACGUACCGCGCAAUUAUCUUACAUCUAGAAGACUCCAGAAGCCACGGGAACGAAGUGGAGGCAGAACGGGGCCUGGCCGAGGGCGCCCGCCCUAGGGACCAGGGCGCCCGCCCACCUCAGGAGUCCAAUCAGGACUAUCUUUUGGGAUCAAGCUCCACCGACCUAAAGGAUCAAGGAUAACCGUUCAAUCAAUGUCGGUUUGAUCCGACGGCCCAUAUUCACUUGGAAGGACUAUAAAACCAGACCCCCUGGCCCCUGGAGGAGAAGAGCCUCUCAACCAUAAUUCAUUAUUCAUCAAGGGAGAAGAAGCCUCUGAUCAAGUCUAGAGCCACCACAUCAAUUAGACAUCUAGAUUAGCAUAGCUACAUAGGAUUAGAACUAGAAGGAGUCAAUCUUCGAUUGGUUUCCGGAUCUGUCAAGAGGAUUCUUGGUAAUUCUCUUUUGUUCUUCUAAUUGUUCAUCUUUGUUCUUCAAUAUUAUGAAUAUGACUUUGUUCCAAUAUAUUGCUUAUGACUUUGCUCUACUUGUUUAUAUUCAAGAUUAUAUUGUUCUUAGUUUAUCAUGGUUAUAUACUUGGCUUAGUUAGAUUUGAAUUAUAUAGAUGUUUAGGAUCGUAUAGCGAUUAUCCAUCGGAUCCAUGGAUAAAUGAUUGAUAUUGUGUAGGCGUGGUGCUUAUACCAUAUUUAUCUGCGAUUGUACCCAAUAUGCCAGAUCGUGGGGAAGUUUGUGAUAGUGACAGCUUCAUUGAUUCUUAUAUAGUCCCCCUCUCGUGUAUUGGGCUGGCAGAGCAACAUUAUUAUAGGGGAGUGAUUACGAUGUUUCUCAUAUUCCUUGCUAAUAUCACUAUGCAUGGGCGUAGUCCUGUCUCGCAAUGAUUGCUAAGUAUACUUGCACUAACUAUGAUAUGCUAGACUGUAUAGUUAAGAAUAACUUAGGGAAUAUUCUUGUAGUUCAUUCUAAUACCAUGCUAAUGACUUGCUAGAAUAUCCAAUUGAGGUGCUUAUCAUAUUUAUAUGUGGCUAAGUUAUUAUCUUUGUCACUAUUCAUUACUUCAUAUAUCUUUUAUGUGACACUUAUCCCUGUAUGAAAGAGUUAGAUAAAUGUUCUCAAUUAUACAUGCAAUGAUAGAUACUCAAUCUCAUAUUCCAUUCUAUAAUCAACAUUGAUGGUUACUAAUCCCUUCCCACUGGUAAAAAUACAAAAAACGAUACCUGGAAUACUUUCCGGUUAAAAUGCUACAUUGGUAUUAAUAUGUGCGCUUGCAGAUCCCAUUCAUUAUUUAUUUAGAUGAGCAAUUGCAUAUUUCAAUACCGCGUCUCUCAUGUCAUGCUUGGGAUGACAACUUGGCUUAAGUGGUAUGAGGGAUAGGUUUGGCAUUUUUGGCACCGUUAUCAGAAUUAGAAAACUGUCUACUUUUGGUAGUGAUGUUAAGAAUACCCAACAGCAGCCACAAUCUCCUGUACCCGGGGCGAAGACAGAGGAAUGUACAGGCGACCAUCGUAGAGUACCAUGCCUUCCGCCACCGUCCAAGGAGCUGCAUGUGAGCCAGCACGGAUGUCGUCGUGGAUGGUUACUAGUGCUCGGUCAGUGGCCUGAGCAUGUCGUAGAUGCGCGAUGAAGUCAAAGCGUGGAGCGGAGAUCGCCUGGAGGUCACCCACGCUGUCCUCCUCGGUGUCGCGAUGGGACAAAGUGUCGGCCACCGUAUUAGAAGCCCCUGACUUGUAUUCGACGGUGAAGUCAAAGCCGAGGAGCUUGCCAACCCAAUGAUGCUGAGGGAUUGUGGCGAGACAUUGGUCGAGGAGAUACUUGUGGCCAUAGUGGUCCGUCUUGACGAUGAACCGGCGCCCCCAGAGGUACGGUCGCCAGUGCCGUACAGCGAGCACCAGGCCGAUGAGCUCUCGCUCAUAUGCCACGAGUGAGCGAUGGCGGGGGGCCACUGGCCUACUGAAGAAGGCGAUCGGGUGUCCCUCCUGGAUGAGGAUGGCCCUAAACCCGUACGUCGAUGCGUCGCACUCCACGAUGAAGGGCUUGGAGAAGUCCGGCAAGGUCAGCACUGGGGCUGACGUCACAGCCCUUGAGGGCACUGAAAGCAGCCUCCGCCUCGGCGCCCCAUGCGAACCCCUCCUUUUUCAGAAGCGCCGUGAGAGGGGCUGCAAUGGCGCCGUAGUUGUGGACCAAUUUCCUAUAGUAGCCCACCAAGCCAAGGAAGCCACACAUUGCUCAUGCCGACCCGGGCUACGGCCAGUCGUGGAUAGCCUGGACCUUGGCGGGAUCCAUGGCAACGCCAACGGUGUAGAUGACGUGGCCGAGGUAGGCGACAGAGGAGACACCGAACGAGCACUUGGACCUCUUCACAAAGAGGCGGUGUCGGCGCAGGAUGUCCAGGACGAUGCGGAGGUGGCGGAGGUGGUCCGCCCAAGUGGUGCUAUAGAUCAGGAUAUCAUCAAAAAACAAGUACGAACCGACGGAGGUAAGCGCACAGCACGUUGUUCAUCAGAGCUCGAAACAUUGCCGGGGCGUUGCACAGCCCGAACGGCAUCACCAGGAACUCGUAGAGGCCAUCGUGAGUGCGGAACGCUGUCUUGUGGACGUCCUCCGGGCGCAUCCGCACCUGAUGGUAUCCCGACCGCAAGUCGAGUAUGGUGAAGAAGCGGGCGCCAUGGAGCUCGUCCAGGAGCUCAUCGACGACGGGGAUGGGAAACGCAUCCUUGAUGGUGAGGGUGUUGAGGUCGCGGUAGUCGACGCAGAACCGCCAUGAGCCGUCGGCCAUCUUGACGAGGAGCACGGGCGAAGAGAAGGCCGAGUCACUGCGGCGAACAAUGCCCUGCUGGAUCAUGGCUGUGCACUGGCGUUCCAGCUCGUCUUUUUGUGCCGCCGGGUACCGGUAUGAACGCACCACAACGGGCGCCGAGCCGGGCUUGAGGGUGAUGGCGUGGUCGCGGGCAUGGGGUGGAGGCAUGCCACUGGGCUCGGUGAAGAUGUCGUCGUAUGCUGCCAGCAGCCCGUCAAGGAGGGACGCGCUGGAAGCCGUGGCCUCACGCAGACUGGGUCCGCCCGUGGACAGCACUCCUGCCCAGCAGAAUGCGCGGCCCUGGUAGGUGAAGGACAGGGACCGUGCCGUGAAGUCCCACACGAUCGGUCCGAGGGUCGCCAUCCACUGUGUUCCCAACACGAUGUUGUAACCUGCAAGUGGCAUGACAAAAAGGUCGAUGGCAAAGGUGGUGUUGUCGAUGGUGAACGGAGCAUGCCGAAUGACGCCUGGGCAUGGAAUCUUCUCGCCAUUCGCGACCAUGGCCGUCAUGCGCGCCCGAGGCUGGACGCGAAGGCCGGUGCGUCGCGCAACCUCCUCGGCGAUGAAGUUAUGAGUGGAGCCGCUGUCCAGGAGGGCGACAAAUGUCGCUGUACCGACCGACACCCGGACCUGCAUAGUGUCAGCAAGCGGCACACCUACGACCGCGUGGAGAGAGAAGACGGGUGCCUCUGUGUCGCCUUCCUCUGCCCCGGCAUCGGCCCCAUCGUCGGUCGCUGUCAAGAAGAAACAGUCACUUGCAAACGCGGUUGUGACCGCGGCCAUACCUCUCAUCACAAUUGUAGCAAAGACCAAGGCGCCGACGUUCCUCCAUCUCUGCCUGGGAGAGUCGUUUGACGGUGCGGCCUUUGAUCCUGACCUGCGCCUGGGGGGCAGGCCGGGCGCCCACUGGUGCUGGCAGCGCGAGGCGCGGUGGGGGGGCUGGAAGGGCCGGAACGAGCCCUCGGUUGGCGGACCUUGCUGGCUGAGGGUGCUGGGGUGUGUGCUGCUCCCGCAGCUCGAACUGCCGGGCAAGGCUCAUGGCGGCCGCCAAAGUCCCCGGGUUCUGAAUGCGCACGUCGAUGCUGAGCAGCGGCAGCAGGCCCCCGGUGAAGAGCUGCACCCGCUGCGAUUCGUCGAGGCGACCAGCCCUGGGGAGCAACUCCUGGAACCGGUCCUGAUACUCAGCAACUGUAGAGGUGCGGCGACACUCCGCAAGUUCAGCCAGGGGUGCUGAUCGGAGUGGCGGCCCGUAACGGAGAUUGAGGAGCUCCGUGAACCGGCACCAUGACGGGGUACCCUCGUCCGUCUGGAGCUGGAUGUACCACAUCUGGGCACCCUCUUCUAGGUUGUAGGAAGCCAUCCAGACUUUCUCCUCUUCCAUGAUCCGCUGCUGGUGGAAGUAGGACUCACAACGGUUGAUGAAGAUCAGCGGAUCACUCUUGCCGUCGUAGCAUGGAAAGUCCAUCUUCUGGAACUUCGGCGGUCGGUCCUGGUGAUGCUCGCCGAACUGUGGCUUGUGGCCCGACGUGGAGGAGAGGGCAGUGAUUGCUUGUGCCUGAGCCUCCAUGGUCUUGGCGUUGGCUUCUGCAGUCGCCUGCAGGGCAGCAACAGCCUUGGCCACAUUAGCCACGGUGGUCUUCAGGUCCUCGGCGUCUCCCAUCGGCGAUGUGCAGGAUGCAGCGGAGGAUGGCGUCGGGGAAGCGGGCACAACGAGGGGUGGCGCGGUGGCUGGUGGAGGAGUCUGGGCGACAGCUGGUGGUGGGGAGGUGGACUGGGCAGAUGAGGAUCGCCAAGAUCGCGAUACCAGGUUGUCAAAGGCAUCAAGCCCUACGGUAGCUGGACCUCGGCUACGUAGUUCGUAGUCGCGAUCCGUCUUCUCCGGCGAGUUUUUGCCCCUCAGCCGCAGGCUUAGAUUUUAGAAGAGAAAGGAGAUUGUAGAUAAUAAUUCUUGCUUGCUUAUUUCAAUAGAGUCUACAUAUAUUUAUGUCCCUUUAACUAUGCCUCCUUAUGCUAAAUAGCCUAUUUGGGACUAAUAUAAAUUGCAACUUAAAAGGAUAACUAAACUUAUAAAAAUAACUGGACCAACAAUCAAGGCCCGCCCCUAGCCACCUAAUUCGGCCUAGCUGCUGGGCGCGCCUUCUCCUGCUGUUGCAGCGCGCUCAGCGGUCCGCCGGAUGCCUCGGGCCUACCGUUGACGUGUGUAUGUGCGGCCCCACAUGAAGCCUAUCGGUUCAAAUUGACCUAUGUUCUGAACUACCGACUACAGCUAAUUACAACCGAGAUUAUAUAGAGCUUCUACAUAUGUACAAAGUGAUGUUUCACCAACUAUCUACUAUAUAGGCCAUACUACCUACAAGGCCGUCCCGGCAAUGUCUGUCUACCUUGCCAUUUAGUCAAAGAUAAGUAUAGAGCAGUACAACGGUAGGUGUGGCAAGAGCUGACCAAAUUACUAACACUGUUCUGCAACAUCAUUCAUGAUCCCGGCUAUUUCCUUCGCCAUCUGAUCCUCAUUUUCGUCUGAAUAUAUAUAAAUUGAGUUGCCAUUUGUCUUCUGCGAUUGACAUGAUAAUAUCUCAGAUCAAAUUAUAUUGUAGUGGCAGUAAGUUGUUGAGAAAUAAAUGGGAUAAAAAAGGCCAACUUGUGUAAAUCUUCUUUGACGUCUUGAACCGUUACAAGGCUUCAUGUAUUUUAUCAUUGAAUUGCAAAGGUCCUUUUUUUCUAUGCCCCAAUACUAGUCUAAUGAAUUGUACCACUACAGCAUACGUAGUUCUAUUUCCUUGACAUAACUAGCAUUUCAUGUCCCUAUGAACACAAACAGACAGGGUUUUAUCAGUAUAUAGGGAUAUAUGAUUUUUUAGUCCAUAUUGUUUGCUCAUGGACAAAACAAAUUUGACUAUAUGGAAAGUUAAUUGCACCAUUUUGUGAUUGACCAUGGAGAUGUUUUUCCUUAAUUUGAUGCUGGGUUUGGACUCAACAUGUUUUUAUUCUCUGAACUGCUGUCAUCAGUAAAGUUAGGAUGGAACUCUCAGGUCCACCAUCUCCAUUGCAGUCUAUGAGGGGUAGGCGAGUAAAGUGUGUAUGUACCCUGAUAACAGAUACAGAUUACCAGGAUGAGCUCCUGCGCUGCUGUGUAGAGACCGGCGCCAUAAUGUAACUCUCUCUCGAUCUCACUGUACUCACGGUCACCACAAUUACUGAUGUGCCAUUAGUCAUUCGUCUGAAUAUGCUGUCACACUCACAUUCGCCUUUGCCAUGAAUGCAUUUAUGUUUUAGCGAGCUCGUGUGAAAAGUCAUGACUGAAAAUACUGUUCGCGAAAUUAUUUAUAAGAAAAAAAUAUUGCUAGCUAGCAAAAAAAAUACAUCUUAUAAAACAAGCGAACUGAGCCUGGGUCUGAGUCCGUGUGUCCCAUGCAUGCUGAGAACCAACAUUUACACAGAUGGGCAUGCAAUUGCAGUGUUAGGUAGUAGGUGCAAUAUUAAUAUCAAUGAUGCAUGCAUUGGAAAGAAUUCAACUAUCCAAGGCACACCAAAGUAGCUAGUCGAUCAGGGCGGUGGAUCUGAUCGAGGAGGUGGAGCCGAGGAGGUCAUCUGCACAUUAUAGCGAGGCAGCCGAACUGUGUACUUGUUGCGUCUUGAUGGUAAUGCAUGUAAGUUGGGCUGGUGUCUCGCAUUGAACAUCACAUGCGGCCGGAACAUCACAUGUGGAUUACAAACGAGUGAUCGAGUCAUUUCGCUUUACUAUUAUGCUAUACAUAUUCUGUGAUUCAAUGUACAGUAUAUAGGAGAACGAUGGCAACCGAGCGAGGGGCACCGUCGGGAGGAAUCAUCUACAGUAGCAUUCAUGAUUCAUGCAUGGGGACGAUCGACGUACUAGUGUACUACUGCUGGGGCCCCAGCUUAAUCAGGGAUGCCAGUGCUGAAAAAGGUUUUCAGAGCAAAGAACACAUUGAAUACCUAGUGUCACGGUUCUUUCAGGUAGGUGCAUGCCUUUGAUUUCUGGCAAGACGGUCAUUCAAUGUACUCAAAUAGAGUAUGCACAUCUACUAGUCUCGGGCUUUGUUUAGUUCACUCUGAAAUUUAAAAACUUUUUAAAAUUUCCGGUCACAUUCGAAUCUUGUGACACAUAGAGCAUUAAAUUAAAUAUAGACGAAAAUAAAAACUAAUUGUACAGUUUACCUGUAAAUCACGAGAUGAAUCUAUUGAGUCUAGUUAGUCGAUCCAUGAUUGGAUAAUAUUUACCACAAACAAACGAGAGUGCUACAGUAGCGAAAUCCGAAAUAUUUUCAGAACUAAGGCCUUGUUUAGAUACACCCAAAAACUUAAAACUUUACAAGAUUCUCUAUCACAUCGAAUCUUGCGUCAAAUGCAUGAAACAUUAAAUAUAGAUAAAAAAGAUAACUACUUACACAGUUUACCUGUAAAUCACGAGACGAAUCUUUUAAGCCUAGUUGUUCCAUAAUUAAAUAAUAUUUGUCAAAUAAAAACGAACGUGCUACAAUGUCAAAAUUCAAAAAGUUUUUGGAUCUAAACAAAGCCUAAACAAGGCAUUGAUUGGAUCUAAACAAGCCCACUCAGAUCGAGCUGAUAUCCAGGACAACACGGAUACUGCAGUGAAGUUAUUAGAUGGCGGGAGAAGAUGAGGUUUCAAUUAUGGUCUCUGCCAGAUUUCUUCAGCAAUUUAUGUCUUACAACUGCCUCUCCAUGACGUGCAACAUAUAUACCCCGGACCACCAACUAUGGGCGUACUUUCGGGUAGCUAGGAGUUGGACGAAAAAUAUAUAUAGGAAAAAAAUUCUGCCUCUUCAAUAUUGAGGCAUAUAAGGUCUGUUUAGAAAUUCUGAGAUUAAUCGAAACCAUUUCCACUCCAUUAAAAGUUUCUCAAAUGCUCUAGAUCCACCGAAUCCGGAGAAAUGGUGGAUUUGAGGGCUAGAUUCACCAGUUGGUAGAGCUCCUCAUGAGGGGGUGCUUCACCAACUCAUGUUUGGUAGAGUUGAGAAAAAAAUACACAUCACUAUCACUAGUUACACACAUACUGGUUCAUUUCUUUUCUUUUCCUUAUUCUUCCCCAAGCUUGUACGGUUCAGGUCCCUCGUGUCCUCUCUAACCGCGUCCUCCUCGAUCGGACAUGGCGAGUUCUAGUUAGUCCUCGAUCACGAGCACCACACCCUUGCUGGCCCAACGUAUAGAUGCCCCGCACGUCGCUCCCCUGGCUGCCAUCCGUCCACGCCCCGCCAUGGCUGACCCGCACGGGAUCUAGCGAGCCCCCCAGCCACCUGUGCCCCUCCCCUGGCCUCUUCUUGCACUGUUGCGCCACCGCUAUGGGGAUGUCGUCCACCUCAUGCAAUGACUUGGGGUGCCAUGAACGGUUCGGGUCCACCGUGUCCUACCCGAUCGAACAUGGCAAAGCUCUCGUGAGCCCCCGGCUGCACAUGCCACUCCCUCCGCCGCGCCGCUGUCCCAAUCCCCGGUUCUGCUCUACUCUGACUAUAUAGGAAUAGGAAUGAAAGAAAAGAGUUGACGCAUGGACCUAGGAAGAAGCUUUUUUCGGACAUUGACAGGUGGGCCCUAUAUCCCAAGGGCAAAAUAGGCUAUUCCCACCAAAAUGCCCUUGCAUGGAUCUAGAGUUGUUGCAUUACUCAAACAGUUUCCUGGUAAAUCCACAGUGAUCCAUGGUGAAUCUAGGUCCAUAUUCACUUUUUUAGGUGGUAAAUCUCUAUUAAUUAAACAAGCCUAUAUUUAUCUAUUAGUGGUGAAUAUCUACCAAUAAGACCAUAUCUAUCUAUCUAUCUAUCUAUCUAUCUAUAGAUAGAUUGAUAGAAAGAUAUAUAUAUACAGACAGAUAUAGGAUAUGUAAGACUUACAGCUAGCACACCAUGGCGAGCAUUAUAUAUACCUAGGACCACGAACCACGGUUUCAAUAUCAUCUAGAAGGUGACUCAAGGUUCUCCAUAGCAUCCCUUUUUUUCGUGUGACGGCCCUGUUAAUUUUGUGUUAGUACGUGUAGAGAGAGAGUACACCAGCAGAUAUAUACACGUGCAACGCGCAUCGCACGGUUGUGAAUGCCACUCGCCCACUCCAUCUCCAUCCACAUCCACAUCACAUACGCACUCCCCACCCACGCUAGCUAGGACAGUACACACGAGAGUACCAUGGUGUCCUUCAAGGCGCGUCGCAUGGAUCCCGAGCUGGUGUCGCCGGCGCGGCCGACGCCGGCGGAGACGAAAGCCCUCUCCGACCUGGACGACCAGCGCACACUUCGGUACUACGAGACGGUGAUCGCCUUCUUCCGCAGCCGCCAUGGCUACACCAGCCACAGACGUCCAGAUGAUCCAGCCAAGGCCAUCAAGGCGGCGCUCGCGGAGGCGCUGGUGUACUACUACCCCAUCGCCGGCCGCCUCAGGGAGGCCGCCGGUGGGAAGCUGGUGGUGGACUGCACCGCGCAGGGGGUGGUGUUUGUGGAGGCCGAUGCCGACGUGCGGCUGGAGGAGCUGGGCAAGCCUCUGCUGCCGCCGUAUCCCUGUGUCGAGGAACUCCUGUGCGAUGCGGGUGAAACACGAGCCGUGAUUGGCAAGCCAUUGGUCCUCAUGCAGGUAUAUACAGCCUCCGAUGAGCUCCUUUCAUGUGCCUCUAGAAUAUUAUACAGAAGUUCUCUAGUUUCUUUGUAAGAUUUUAUACGUGACUGACAUUGUGUCUUUUAUGUUUUUUGUUUGUAUAGGUGACGAGGCUCAAAUGUGGUGGCUUUGUUAUCGGAUUCCACAUGUGCCAUACGAUCGCAGAUGGAUUCGGUAUGGUUCAAUUCUUUAGAUGUGUUGCUGAACUAACUCGCGGUGAAAACGUGCCCACAGUUUUGCCCGUGUGGAGAAGAGAGCUCCUAACACGACCACACAAGUCGUCAUCAUCAUCUCUCAUCAUCACGCAUUCAAAUGCCUCAUCAUCAGAUUACGACAACAACAACAAAUCUGACGACGUGAUGCUGUCAACUCCAAUGGACAACAUGGUAGUCCAGUACUUCCUCUUCGGGCCAAGGGAGAUAGCAACCCUACGCGGCCACCUCAGGGGAUACCAGCUCGCCGCCACCUCCGCUACGUCCUUCGAGCUGCUCACCGCGGUCAUGUGGCGAUGCCGCACGACAGCGUUGGGCUACCAGUCCGAUCAGCGCGUUCGCCUCAUGGUCACCAUGAACGCGCGCGGCAAGUGGAACCAGCACACGCUCAUCCCGCGGGGCUACUACGGGAACGCCCAUGUGUCCCCCAUAGCGGAGGCCACCGCCGGCGAGCUCUGCGGCCAGCCGCUCGCCGACACGGUCGAGCUCGUGCGCAAGACCAAGCUCAGCGUGACCAAGGAGCGCAUGGAGUCGAUGGUGGACACGAUCGCGUCGACGCGGCAGUGGCCACCGCCGACGAUGGACAGGAUCUACGAGGUCUCUGAUACCAAGUGGAUCGCCACGAAUGCGACGCAGUUUGGGUGGGCCGAGCUGGUGGGCGGUGGGAUACCACUAGCUGGUGACCUUACUUCGAAGCUGGGAAGCGACCACAUGAGCUGCAAGAACCAGGAUGGUGAGCACUCCACCAUUGUGUCCAUGCUUUUGCCCAAGCCGGCGAUGGAGAAGUUUAGCGGUGAGCUGUCGGUUUGGUUGAACAACAAACAUGAUGAGAAGAACUUGGUUAUACUGAGUUCCCUCUAGUCUAGGAACAAAUUUAAACAUUGUUAUUGUACGUGCAAUUUGUUGUACGAAAGAGAAAUGAUUGGCUCAAGGUGAAUGAGAAUUUUUAUAUAAUAUCUUUAAUUUCAAUAUUCUUUGCAGUUUAUAUAUGUCAGAGAGAAUGGGAGAGAACACGCCGCACACUUUCCAUUACAUUCAGAGAGGGUUAAAUACAACAGCCGGGUGAUCACACACUACCUGCCGAUCCUAUAAUUCAAGCAAGGUGAGUGGUGAAGCCGGUGACUAGCUGUUACAAUAGAAAGAACUAAGUCAUGACCACUCAAUCCUAACUAUCAUGCUAACAAUAUAUAUGGCAAUGCUGUAACUCUGAGGUUCGAUGAGUUUGGACGUCUGUCACAUAGCGACUUAACCGCUCACUCAUUCUUUAUCCACCCACUCCCCGCUCCCCAUCCCAUCUCAUUCCUAUUGCCUUUCUUUCUUCUCCCUCCUCUUGGACUCUAUUCCUCACAGCACUCCACUCUCUCUUUCUGCCCUGGUGGCGCCGCCCCUCCACGCCGUCCACGCUGCGACAGUGGCGGCUACCGGCGAGCUAGCCCUCUAUCCCUCCUCUUCCUCCCUCCAUGCCCCUGUGCCCCACACGAAUCUCUAUGCCACCAAGAGAAAAGGGGCGGCGGCAGAGGCUUCUCGGCAUGCAACUCCUUCCUGCUUCCCUAUCUCCCUCCCCUUGCUCUGGUGACCUUCAUGCCACUUGAGAGAAGCCUGAUGGUGGUGGCUUCCGAUGAGGUACGUGGAUCCUUUCUGGAUCUAAGCUGUUUGCUUCCUCCUCCUCCUCAUUUGGAUCUGAGCUCUCCUCCUCUCCUCACUUGGAUCUAAGCUCUCCUCCUCCUACUCCUAUACUCUUCCUCCCUCUGGAUCUAAGGAAUGUGGUGGUCAUUAGGGUUCCUACAAGCUCUCGGAUUUGGAUCUCACUGUGUUGCAAUGGUUCUCUCUGACUAUUUUGGCAGGUUCCCGUUGAUGGUGUAGUAGUGCUGCUUGAGAUGUAUGUAGUAUAUUUUAGUUGCUUCAAUCUGCAUGUUGUAAUAGUUAUUAUAUGUUGUUGUAGCAGUUGUUCGGUGUUCACUAGUACACUAAACCACUACACAUGAGGUUCCCAAUCCCUUUCCAUAGGCGGAUUGGAGAACCGCCUGCGCUGGAUGCCUGUGGAAAUAAUUUUUUCACAGGCGGGUAGUAUGGAACCAACUAUAGAAAUCAAUUUCUACAGGCGGUUCAAUUAUACCACCCGCCUGUAGAAAUAUAUUUUCUACAGGCGGUUGUUAUUACAAAACCGCCUGUAUUAACAUUUUUAAAUCUCUCGCCAAUUUUCAAAUUAUCCCACCAGACCCUAUUUUUUAGUUUAUACAUUAAUAUAUAUACAUAAACAUACAUAUAUAUACACAUAAUAUUGAAACUACUAAGGCCUAGAGAUCAUGUCAACCAUUGCAACAUGCAAUUCAUUUAUAUAUAUAUAUCGUUACUUUAUACAUAAAGUUACAUUAAUUACAAACAUGAUGACACAUUAAGUUUUUUAUGUUUACAUACAUAAGAGGUUUCACCUUUGAAACCUCUUUAAAGUUACAUUAAUUACAAACAUGUUGAACGCGGUGAUGUUUUGCCGAGGUAUCAGAGAGUCGCCACUCCCCACUAGUCUUUGUUGGAGCACCCGCGCAAGGGUCUUGCUCCCCUUUGGUCCGCGCAAGGACCAAGUGCUCUCUACAGGCUAAUUCUUCGACACUCCGUCGCGGUGAAUCGCUCAAAACCGCUCACAAGCUUGACACGAGCCACCCAUAAGAACUCUAGGCGGUCUUCAUGCCUCCAAUCACCACUGAACCAUCUAGGUGAUGGCGAUCACCAAGAGUAACAAGCAAAGAACUCUCACUUGACCCAAACAAGGCUCUAGAGAGUGGUGGAUGCACACUUUAACUCUUGGAACUCAACUAGAGAAGGAUUCACUCAAGAAAUCUCUCAAUUCUCAAUCCUCUCUUGGCUCUUGCUUCUCUCUUGCACCAGAAGGUGUUUCUCAGCUGAUCAAAUGGGCAAGAGACCUCCCAUGGACGAGGUGGAAGAGUAUAAAUACUCCCCAUCAAGUCCAAGGGCCGGCCAUCCAAAUUCCUGAGAAAACGGGAGCACCGGACGUGCUCAAUAGAGCGUCCCAUGCCCCUUUAAUGGCUAACUGUACUUGCACCUGCCACACACCGGACGCACCAACAGUGAGUCCGGUGCCUCACUUGGACCAUAUUCGGUGAGAGGACAGAUUGCAACCCUCUCUGGGUACGGGACCAGACGCACCACGGUGGGUCCAGUGCCCGCGUCUGGUGCGAGGUCAUUCUGCAGACCUCCCUAGGUAUGAGAUCGGACGCACCCCAGCGAGUCUGGUGCGUGCGUUUGGUGCCAAACCCUAGGCACCCAGACUCGCUGACCCAAGUCAGCACCACCGGACGCACUCACAGAGCGUCUGGUGCUAGCGUCCGGUGAUGUUUCAGCACCCAAACUUCGUCGAAACGCGACGUCUCCAAAACAAAGUUUGUUGCUCUUGAUCUAAGGACUUUCUCAAAGCUGCCUAGUGCUAGGUUUACCAAGUGUGCACCACACCUAAACCUAAAGCUUCGCCUAGGUCAAGCUACCCGCUCAAUACCCCCCUUAAUAGUACGGUCAAAGGAAAAAAAAAGUUCUAAACUACUCUAAGUGCCAUUCUUUACCAUAUGGUACCUAGACCUAGUCUAGUCUCAACGAUGUCCAACAAUCCUUUGAAAACCGAAACAAUUUUCACAAUUAAGUUGGCAUGAACGAUCUAGUCCAUCGAUCACCAUUACCAUGACCUAACACAAAUGACUUUGCCUCUGCAAAACACACGUUAGUCAUAGUAAUCAACAUUGUCAUUAAUCACCAAAACUCAUUAGGGGCCUAGAUGCUUUCACCUCUGCUCUAAUAACCGGAUCGAGUUAGCUUUAGCCUACUAAUCUGCCUUAGCGAUCUGUAUUCAGGCUUUGCUAGGAUGCUGGUCCGAUCGUGAUAUUUCUCUUCGCUGGGAAUGACUUCUCUCAAUAUGAAUUUGCAGAUGUCCUCAACUAUGUUGUAUAAAGUGGUUUCACUCACGCUCUUCGCCUUUUCAAAGUCUUUUUGCUGCAUAGGAAGUUAGAAAACAUCAUAUAUUUAAAGUUCAUAAUACACAAUUAACAACCUUAAUCACACAACCAUAUAAAUGACUAUUAAUUACUUAGAGCAUUAAUUACAUUAUAAGGGUUAGUGACAUAUCUUCCGCCCUCUCUCAUGAACUCGUAGACGUAGAAUACACACUGGACCGAUCUGGGUGGUUGCUUGUGGCACUACAUCAAAUUGACAAGCUAGAAAAAACAACAUUGAUGGAAUCAACUAAAUAUAUAUCUCCAUUUCAAUAAAAUAAAUUUGAGAAGGAAACAUGAAAAAAGAAAAGGGGAGACAUCAUCUAACCAUCUAAAUUAAAGCAACCUCAUCCAUGAAAAAAAUAUAGUGCAUAAUUAAAAAGAAUUGAGAAAUGGAAUAUAAAAUCAUAGUGAAACAUGAAAAGGGAGAGAGGAGAGGCAUCAUCUCACCAUCUUAAGCAACCUCAUACAUGAAAAAUGCAUAUUGCAUAAUUAAAUCAAAUUGACAUAAAGGAGAACAUCCUAAGCAAUAUAAUUAAGUAACAAGAAACCUAUCUUUCUCUCUCUUCCCAAACAUGGAAAUACUAUUCAUGGAAACCACUACACAUAUAUUUCUUGGAUUCACUAAUUAGAGAAGGAAAUAUGCAUUGAAAAGGGGAGAGGAUAGACAUCAUCUAACCAUCUUAAGCAACCUGAUUUGAGCAAAUAUAGUCCAUACCUAGCUACUCUACUCUCUCCCUCUCAUGGUGAAAUCCUGGAUCCAAAAAGUACCUCAAAUUGAGCAAGAGGGCAAAAAAAGGCAUUAGAGGCAUCAACUAACCUUUCUUAGCCCCUCCUUCUAAGAAAUGAAGAUCAAAACCUCCCCCCUUGUAUUUUGGAAAAUCUAGAUCUCCAAGAUGGGCUCUAAUGGAAGGUGGCUGCGAGGAGGAAGAAGAGGGGAUAUUUAUAGAAAGAAUAGCAUAGACCGUUUGCUUAAGAAACCGCCUGUGUAAAUCGAUUAACACAGGCGGUUCACAUAACUGAACCGCCUGUGUAAAUGUAGCAUUAACAUAGGUGGUUCAGUUAUGUGAACCGCCUGUACUGACCCAUUUACACAGGCGGUUUUUAAUUCUCGCUAUACAAUUUUACAACACAUGCGCACGAUAACUAAAACCGCCUAUGGAAAGUUUUUGCCACUGCUAGCUUAGAGCAUCUGUGUACUAGUGGUUGUGGUAAUAAUAUGUUCAUGGUGUUUCAGCUACUUUAGCAUAAUGUUUCAGUUGCUUUUCAUUAUUGUUGCAAUAAUAUGUUUAAGUUGUUUGAACUUCUUCUCAAUAUUGCACCUAUUGUCCUUUUUUGUUUGUUCCAAUAUAUAUGUUUAUGGGGUUUCAACUUCUUCAACCUAUUGUUGUAGUAGUUUGUUUGGUUGUUGUUGCAUAACACGUUUCAUGGUGUUUCAGUUGCUUCACCCUACUGUUGCAGCGGUAGGGGGGCAAGUUGGGGGUGGGAUGUGGAGGUGAGCUGGCGGUGGGCAGAGGUACUAGGAGGCUAGUGAGGUUGGGGGAAGACAGAUCCUAUGUGUGUGGGGGCAGGACAGGUGUUGAUAUUUACUAACGCAAUAAGGAAAUGAUCCGCAAGCGCACGGAUAUCGGUGAGCAUUUCACCCGGGAGGUUUUCCAGAGUAUCGUAUUUAUAUUUUUACCACUAGGAGAAAGGGUGCAUCUGACUAACCAAAUCUAUUGCUACUAUCCCUUUAGGCUACAAAGAAUGUUUCUCGAUGUGAGUGACGUAUAGAGAAGACUGCAACCGUAGUCUCGUUCUAACCUUGGUAAGGAUGAUCUACUGUUCUAUUGGGGAGGCUCACGGAAUCUAGACAACACAAAGGAUGUUCGACCCGUACCUAUAAACCUACCCGUCCUGCUAACAAGAUAUGGGAUAUAAAGGUAACUCGGAAAUGUCACGUUCCUCACUACUACCACGGUCCAGCUAGUCAGGGGAUAUCUAUGAGUACCCUAGCCUAAACACCACAUUUACGCUAGCAAUGAUUACUCUAAUACUCAACCGGAAGAGUUAAAGUAAACUCAUAAAACAAAGAACAAUAAAACAAGAACUUACUAGAAUUAGAAGUCGAAUUACUGAAGAAUCUUAGAAGCAAGCCUCGGGUUAGAAGACUUGAUCCCGCAGGUACAACUCGGAGUAGACACCGACAGGCCGGCCUUCCUCCGAUCUACACCUCCACUCUAUCUCUCUCAAUCUAGUAGAAACUAGAAGAUCUAUUUCUACUUACAUUGGUUGCUAAGCCUAAAAAGAAAUAUUAUUUAGAGAAGAGGUUUUCCUUCGAGGGCACCCCUCAACUCUAUGAUAACUUCUUAUCUCCUCCAGGGGCCAGGGGGGUCUCCUUAUAUAGUCCUCCUCCUCUAUGCGUUUUUGGGUCGGUAGGCGAUGUGGUACUACGUUAUCCUUGAUCCUUUAGGUCGGUGGAACAUCGUGUGCGAAGAGAGUCCCGAACGGAGUCCAGGACAGGGCGGGCGCCCUGGGCCUGGCCCCUUUCGGCCUCUGCUUUCUUCCCGUGGCUUCUGGAGUCUUCUAGAUGGUAGAAAAUUACGCGGUGCGUUGAUAUCUCUAUGUAAUCCCGACAUGUGGGCCUUUCUUUUGUAUUUCCUGAUAACCCCCUACAGAAAUAGACAAACACCAAAACUCGUGGAAUUCUGUUAGAUAAAACCCUAAGUCUAGGUGUUGGUUGCAUUUGGAUCCUUUUCUUUAUUUAUUUGAUGAUUAUAUUUGGUACUUAAGGACCGUCAACAACUCUCCCAAGCUUACCUCUUGCUCGUCCCUGAGCAAGGAUGAACUCAAGAGUUUCUGCAGUGGUUUCAUGCCUUAAAAGUACACACGCAUUCAAACAAGAUCUCAUCUCUGAGUUACAAUAAACUGUUAAGACUUAAAACUUACUCAUUUUACCUUUCACCAUGGGGCUUGUAACCGUCACUUGUGUCUUGAGCAGUUAAAAGAUAGAACGGUCAAGUCAAGCGCCAUGUUUCUUAUUCUUGAUCAGCUAUAGCUCUGGAGUUUUUGCAGAUUUUCAAAUAAAACUCAGAGAUUCCUUAUAUGAUUCUCUCAGAUCUCUCUUUUGUAGUAUUUCUGGAUCCUUACCAAGGCAAUAAUGGUAUAUGCCUUCUCUCAAAGUAUGUGGUAUUUUUGGUAUAAGGCAUAGUGAUAUUGCCUUCUCUCUCACCCUACUCUAAUAAGGUUUUGAUAUCUGGAGCUCAUAGGUGGGAGACAGCAAUUACAUACUUACAAGACAUUUAUUGCAUAGUCAAACCAUGGAUCCAGAGAAACAAGUCAAUAAGUCAAAUCAAGAUGUGCAUGUGUGGCGAGUGAAUGGUGUAUGGUGAUGAUGGUGAUAACAAUGGUGAAAGUCUAAUUCUACUUUUGCUCUUUUGAGGGGAUACAUACCUUUCUUGCACUUUGAAAACUUUUUUUUGAGGGGAAUGAGAUGCUCUAUAUUUUCUUUUCUUUCCUCUCAGGUGGGUAUCUUGUGCCCCUAAUUCUACUGUCGGACACUUGUCCAUUUUUACCUCUCGUCUCACUUUUUCUUUUCUUCGAGGUUCCGGGCACUUGCCCCUUUUUAUUUCCUCGUAUAUUAUUUAUUUUUUUUCUUUUCGUUUCUUUUUUUUAGAGCACUCAUCUCCUGAAAUAAUGUAGCAAGUGGUAGUAACCAAAAUAACUGGAGCAUUUAUUUCACAGAGAAUAACAGGAAUAGAAAAAUAUUUUUGGCUAUUCUCUCCCGGAUUAGGAGUAGAAUAAUUUUGGGUGAAACUGGAGAUGGAAAUGAGUGGAUAUAUGUGGAUGGUACUUCCGGAGUAGAAGUAGCAUAUAUGAGUGAACGUGCAAGUGAAUCUUGAUUCUAACCACAUGACAAGCUCCUAAGAGUCUACACAGCUUGACCACACUCAAUGCUCAUAAGCAGUAAAAAGUAAAUGUGUGGCUCAAAGUCUAAUAAGCAUGUAUAUAUGGCUGUGGUAGGAUUUUAAACUCUCAUCAUACAGGAACUCAUCAUGUGUUAUUUUAAAGAUUUUUCAAAGAUAAAAUUCUCCAGAAUUCUAGCAUCUCUAGGAACAGAUAAACAGCAGCUCAACCUUCCCAUAUCAUAUCUGUUAACAACUUAGACUUUAGAUCAAGUACUUUUCCCACAAGUUCAGGUUUAGAGCAAGCUUUAAAUUAUAACAGUUAUGCCUAAACUUGAGAGAGAUUUCAAUUUUAAGAACUAGUCAAGACAGAGCAACUAUUCAUCAUUUCCAUGUGAGAGUUUAUCAUGAGGGUUCAUAGCAAACUUUAUUUAUUUAUUUAUUUAGCAAACUAAGCAAAGAUAUAUAUAUAAAAGUACAAAAUCUUUAUUUGGGUUUUCAUGAUUAUGUAUCUUUUAUUAUUUGAGUAAAGUAUAAACGCGAGUAGAAACACUUAGCUGGAUAAAUGGGGGUGCUCUCCCCCAAGCUGGAUUUUGACAUAAUUUCUUCUGAUGUAGCUAGCAGGUGGUGGAGGUGUAUUUGAAAGUCGGCAGCACCCUGACAGCGAUUAGGAUGUCCUCUGUCUGCUAGUCUUUUUUUUGAUCCUUGAAUUCUGUGGAGCUCAAAUAGACAACAAAGCUUUGUGGAACUGGUUAAGUGUUAGCAUAAAUAUCUAGCCUUUAUCAUGUUGAGCCUCCUCAAUAAAUGUUACUUAUUUAGCAGGAUCAUGCACUUAUUAUUUUUAUAUUUUUAUUGUAAGAUGAAAACUUAUUUAUUUUAUUUUUAUGCCACCACAGUGAAUGUACUUAUGGGUUUUAUGCCAUGAGCAUACUCACAUGGGGCUUACUAUUUUUUUAACAUUUUUUUUUCUUUUCAAGAUAGCAUGAACCUGAUUAACUAAGCAAACUAUUGAAAGGAAAAGGAUAACUACCAAGUUUACCUCUUGGCAAGGCGUUCGGUGUUUUUAAGUCUUACGAACGGGACUCUCCAUUUUCUCAGUCGUCCUGGGAUUCGCUGGAUGGCGUAGUCGGUGAUUCCGGCGGCACCUCUUCUUCGUGUAUAACUAUCUUCUCUCUCCACACCUGACUCGGUGCUACGGUCUCCUCAGGACAGUUCUGUUCAAGCUAUAUGUCUUCAGACCUUAUCACUUCUCCUUCGUAGUCUACCCAUCCGUCCUUGAUGAUUUGCCUCCUCUGGUUGCGGUUGCGUUGUCUUCUUCUUGUCCUGACCUGCUUAGAGUCUUCAACUAUAUAGUUAGAAUCAUUAAAGUAGUGGCGUACCUUCUCAGAGGGGAAGUGCAUGUGGACUUCUCCGGUUCCAAUAUAGAUGAUAACUUUGAUAGUGUUGAGGAACGGUCUUCCAAGGAUGAUGGGUGGAUCGUACUCGUCUUCUCCCAUGUCAAUGACCUGAAAAUCAUCUGGAGCUGAAUGUAUAUUGGUUGUAGGGGCAUGGUUCCAUGCAGGAGCUGAUAAGUGACUGUGGCCAUUAUGUUGUCGUCAGAUUCGGUGUCAUAGAGUGUCUUCUGAAAAGAGUAUCCAUUGAUGUGCACUCAAUGCUUGGAACACCAGGGUCGUCCUUCUUAAUAAGGAAAGGUGACUUGAGUCGACGAUCUUGACCUCCUCCGACAAGGAUCCAAUGUUUAAAAUCUUCUGGACAAGACUUCUCACUGUCUUCAUCCUUUAGGUGCAUCAUUUGAUUAGGUGUGAACCUUGACGUCUGCACUUCUUGAUACGGUGUCACCUAUAUUCUUUGAUUGCCCAGCAGUUCGAAGUGCAGUGUUGGCAAUAUCCUGCUCAGUGUGUCUGUGCUCAUAGAUCCAGGUCCUUCACUUGGUGAAAUCUGGGAGUUAUAAAACUCCUCCAUGUUUUGCUUGAAGUGUACCUGCUCAUAGAGACAAGGCAGAGAUCAAGUGCAUGGGCCCUGUUGGUGGAAAACACCAACAGAACCAAAAGUGUAUUUGUUCUUCUCUAACCUUAAGCAUAGUGAGCAAGAAAAAGUUGAUGGAUCAUGAGUGUAGCAUUUGUCAGAUCAGAUGGCUCAACCUAAUGGAAAGAUAAUCUAUCUAUAUUUAUGUUUUGUUUAUAUCUUCCAAAGAUUGAAUGUGCAAUACUUUAGCUUAUAUGAUUAGGAGUGUGGGAUCACGAAGGUAGUACUAAGAACAAAGAUUAAAGGACUCAACAUGUUGAAUUAAUUGGGUUGGUUAAUUUAGAGUUACAGAUCAUACAUGUUUGUCUCUUUAUUUUGUGUGAAUGCCAGAACCAAGGAGAAGUUUAUAAAAGUGAUAGUCAAGUACCUUAAGGUGUUACCUUACUUGAAGAGUGAUGGUAUAGUAUCACCUUGUGGAAGCUUUCCUUUCUUAGCGGUUGUGCAUCGUGUUUGUGGCACCCUCCAUGAAUCAUCUCUUUAUGAUAAAUGAGCUAUGUCCUUCUUGUGCAAAUUGUUAAACUUCAUGUGUCUCCUUUAUCUCCAAUGAGAUUGUAUCUCAAGACUUCCCAGGUUGAUAUUGAAAGUUUUCCUGCAGGGGUUAGUCUAACAAAAUAUCCCAUAUCUACUAUAGCAUACUAUCGGCUCAAAAAUCAACCUAGACACCAUGUCUAAUUUGAUUUAGGAUGGCAUUUUAACCUAAGCACCAUGCUUAAUUUAAAAAUCCUUUGGAAGUAAGAUCAUCAUUCCUAAACUAAGCACCAUGCUUGAUUUAAGAGAUAAAUGAAACUAGUCCAAACCUAGACAUAUACUAAAGCAAAUAAAGGUAGC